GAGUACUUCCUCUUCAAACUUAAUCUUACCUAACAUAAAUUUAAAUGAGCCGAAUUAGUAAAUUAAUUAAUUAUACAAAUAAUACUUGACCAAUCUAAUAAAGUGGAUACUCACUAUUAGGUGAACACUCUAGUAUGAAUGCAAUUUGAAACAUAUUUUUAAAUUAAUUAAUUAUAAAAAUAAUAACUUGACCAAUCUAAUAAAUGGAUACUCACUAUUAGGUGAACACUCUAGUAUGAAUGCAAUUUGAAACAUAUUUUAAAUUAAUUAAUUAUAAAAUAAUACUUGACCAAUCUAAUAAAAGUGGAUACUCACUAUUAGGUGAACCACUCUAGUAUGAAUGCAAUUUAGAAACUAUAAUUUAAUUAAUUAAUUAUAAAAUAAUACUUGACCAAUCUAAUAAAGUGGAUACUCACUAUUAGGUGAACACUCUAGUAUGAAUGCAAUUUGAAACAUAUUUUAAAUUAAUUAAUUAUAAAAAUAAUACUUGACCAAUCUAAUAAAGUGGAUACUCACUAUUAGGUGAACACUCUAGUAUGAAUGCAAUUUGAAACAUAUUUUAAAUUAAUUAAUGGAUAUAUAUGGAACAAAACCUAACAAAAGUGCACCCACUUGGUUCACAAAGAAACUUUCUUCUAUUUUCUCACUUUAUUUUCUUCCAGUGUCUUUCCUAUUCAAAGCCAUCAUUUCUAUCAACCUUCCUAAUACCCUAUUUAAAAAGUCAAAUUAAAAAACAUUUUUUUAAAAAACAAAACAUAAAAACAAAAACAAGAAGAUGGAAAUCACUUGGUUGGUACUAUAUAUUUGGUUGCUAAGUUUGACUCAUACUAUGUUUUGACCAAUUAAUAUUGACCAAUAUAAACAAAAUCUUAUAUCAGAUAAAUUCAAAAGUUUUAUAAAAAUAUAUUCGUUCAUAACUUAUAAUAAAAUUGAUUAUACAUAUAUAAUCCUCCCUCCAUUCACUUUUACUGAUCAAUUAUUCCUAAAAUAUAUUUUCAUUUUUAUUUGUCACUUUUAACAAAUAAAAAAAAUAUAAUUAUUUUUUUCCAUGUUUUACCAUUAACAUUAAAUAUUAUUCUCCAAAUCAUUCUUGAGGAUCUAAUACUAAACAUCAACUAAUACCUAUGUCGCUAACUAAUGACAAGUGAAAAUGAACGGAGGUAGUACUGUUAAUCUUCAACAACCACCAUUUUAGUGUUUUUCCUAGCAACCCCCUCUCACAUAUUUUGUUUACCAACCAUCAUUUGUUCCUCUCUAUUUAUACUCACCACAUGAUAUCUCAUCUACCACAACCAAAACAAAAAAAGUUUUAUAAGUUCACAACAUUUUUUUUAUAUACAUACAAAUAAACUCCAACCAUUUUAUCUUCACUAAAAUUUCUUCAUUACAAAUCUAACCAUUUUCUUGAUACAAUGGCACCAUCAAUUGCACAACAUGGACAUAUUAAUGGAGAAGUAGAAGAAGUGGCAUCAAUUGCACAAAAUGGACAUGUUAAUGGAGAAGUAGAAGAAGUUUUGUGCAAGAAAUCAAUUCAUGAUCCAUUGAAUUGGGAAAUGGCUGCUGAUUCUUUAAGAGGGAGUCAUUUGGAUGAAGUAAAAAAGAUGGUGGAUGAAUUUAGAAAGCCAAUUGUGAAACUUGGGGGUGAAACUUUGACAGUUGCACAAGUUGCAUCCAUUGCAAAUGUUGAUAACAAAAGUAAUGGGGUCAAAGUGGAACUUUCUGAAAGUGCAAGAGCUGGUGUGAAAGCUAGUAGUGAUUGGGUUAUGGAUAGUAUGAGUAAAGGUACAGAUAGUUAUGGUGUUACUACUGGAUUUGGUGCAACAUCUCAUAGAAGAACAAAAAAUGGUGGUGCUCUUCAAAAAGAACUUAUUAGGUAAACAAACUACUUUUUUCGUUAUAUACACGGACAAUGUAAAGAAUUUUUAUAUUUUUUGUAUAUAUAGCUUAUUGACUACCUUGAGUGCUCCACUGAUUUUUUUUUCUUUUUGUUUUUACACGAAGGGGUUUCGGAUGAAUUCAGUUAAAAAUGUUAUGUUGAUGAAUUAUGAUAUUUUUUUGUAGGUUCUUGAAUGCUGGAGUUUUUGGCAAUGGAACAGAAUCAUCUCACACAUUGCCACAUUCAGCAACAAGGGCAGCUAUGCUUGUUAGGAUCAACACUUUGCUUCAAGGCUACUCUGGCAUUAGAUUUGAAAUUUUGGAAGCAAUCACAAAGUUGAUCAAUAGCAACAUUACCCCGUGUUUGCCCCUCCGUGGAACGGUCACUGCCUCAGGUGAUCUUGUCCCUCUGUCCUACAUUGCUGGUUUGCUCACUGGCAGGCCUAACUCCAAGGUUGUUGGGCCCAAUGGUGAGAAACUUAAUGCUGAGGAAGCUUUCCGCGUGGCUGGUGUUACUGGUGGAUUUUUCGAGUUGCAGCCUAAGGAAGGACUUGCACUUGUGAAUGGCACAGCAGUUGGUUCUGCUAUGGCAUCAAUAGUCCUGUUUGAGUCCAACAUUCUUGCUGUUAUGUCUGAAGUUUUAUCAGCGAUUUUCGCUGAAGUGAUGAACGGAAAGCCCGAAUUCACUGACUAUUUGACACACAAGUUGAAGCAUCACCCUGGUCAGAUUGAGGCUGCUGCUAUUAUGGAACACAUUUUGGAUGGCAGCUCUUAUGUCAAGGAAGCUCAGAAGCUCCAUGAAAUGGAUCCUCUUCAAAAACCAAAGCAAGAUCGUUAUGCUCUCCGAACAUCUCCACAAUGGCUUGGCCCUCAAAUUGAAGUCAUCCGUGCUGCAACUAAGAUGAUCGAGAGGGAGAUUAACUCAGUGAACGACAAUCCAUUGAUCGACGUUUCAAGAAACAAGGCCUUACAUGGUGGCAACUUCCAAGGCACCCCUAUUGGUGUCUCCAUGGAUAAUACACGAUUAGCCCUUGCAUCAAUUGGUAAAUUGAUGUUUGCCCAAUUCUCAGAGCUUGUCAACGACUAUUACAACAACGGGUUGCCAUCUAAUCUGACAGCAGGAAGGAAUCCAAGCUUGGACUAUGGUUUCAAGGGCGCUGAAAUUGCGAUGGCUUCUUACUGCUCGGAACUUCAAUUCUUGGCAAAUCCAGUGACUAACCAUGUCCAAAGUGCUGAGCAACACAACCAAGAUGUGAAUUCCUUGGGCUUAAUCUCAGCCAGGAAAACAGCUGAGGCUGUUGAUAUCUUGAAGCUAAUGUCAUCAACCUAUCUCGUGGCGCUUUGCCAAGCUAUAGACUUACGGCAUUUGGAGGAGAACUUGAAGAGUGCUGUCAAGAACACAGUUAGCCAAGUAGCUAAGAGCACUUUGACAAUGGGUGCUAAUGGUGAACUUCAUCCAGCAAGAUUCUGCGAAAAGGAAUUGCUUCGAGUCGUGGACAGGGAAUACUUGUUUGCCUAUGCAGAUGACCCCUGCAGCUCCAACUACCCUUUGAUGCAGAAGCUGAGACAAGUCCUUGUUGAUCAAGCAAUGAAGAAUGCUGAAAGUGAGAAGUGUGUCAACAGCUCAAUCUUCCAAAAGAUUGGAGCUUUCGAGGACAAAUUAAUCGCUGUGUUGCCUAAAGAAGUUGAGAGUGUAAGAGCUGUUGUUGAAAGUGGCAACCCUUCAAUUCCUAACAGGAUCACAGAAUGCAGAUCAUAUCCAUUGUACAGAUUGGUGAGACAAGAACUUGGAACAGAAUUGUUGACAGGUGAAAAAGUUCGAUCUCCCGGUGAGGAGAUUGACAAGGUGUUUACAGCAAUGUGUAAUGGACAGAUUAAUUGAUCCAUUGUUGGAGUGUCUCAAGAGCUGGAAUGGUGCUCCUCUUCCAAUCUGCUAAAUCUGUUUUUUUUUUUCAAAUUCUUUUUUAACCUUUUAGUGAAUCACUAGAAUCAUAAUAAUUUUUUCAAUUCUAUUUUUCUUUUUGACUGUAUGUAAUAUUGGCUCAAAGAAGCUGUUGGAAGAUUUCCAAAUUCUAUGUUCAAUCAAUAUCUAUAACAUCACAGAUCAUAUCUUCAUAUUUCUUAGUACUUCAUAACAUUCCUAGUUUCUCCACAUGACAUUUCAGGACUUGUUCAAAUAUAUAUUUGGAUAUAUUUAUAUGUAUGUGUAAUAAAUAUAUGUGAAUGUAACUUUACAAUAUUUCAGGAACUAGAAGAAAUAGAAUAGAAGACCCCGUGCCGUCUGGUAGGUUUCAUAAUUCAGGUGAUACAUCGACAGACAACUUGUGGAAUGAGCAAGCAUUGUCACAAACUUGAUCAGAAGUAGUAGUACCUCUUAUUGAUUUUGCUAAAUUGGCAAUUAUCACUGAUAACUAAGAUUGGAGCAGGGGGAUUCGGCCCUGUUAACAAGGUAUGUAACAACGGAUUGCAACUUAUUUACAGAAAUAUAUUGGUGUUUUUGAUACAACAUAGACGGAUAUCAACUCGAAGAUGAACAAGUGAUAGCUGUCAAAAGAUUAUCUAGUAAUGUUCUAUUAGAUGAUGAUAUGAAGGUCAUCAGAAGUAGUAGUAAUGUUCUCUUAGAUGAUGAUAUGUUAUCUAGUAAUUUAAGGGUCAUUCACCGAGAUCUGAAGGCCAGCAAUGUUCUCUUAGAAGAUGAUAUGAAUCCAAACAUCUCAGAUUUCAGCUUAGCUAGAACCUUUCAAGUGACUUAAGAGCUAAACACUCGGAAAAUUGUCGGAACAUAGUACACAUUUCCUCUAUUUCUGCAUUCAGAGAGUAAAAAAGUUACUCAAUUACUGACCUGUAUAUAUGUUGCAGCGGUUAUUUGUCCCCUGAAUACGCGAUGAGAGAACUAUAGAAAUCUGAUGUCUACAGCUUUGGUGUUUUGCUGUUAGAGAUUGUUAAUGGCACGAGAAACAGUAGAUUUUAUGACCACGAAAGGCAUCUCAACCUUCUCAGUUAUGUAAGUGCAACGAAUUCAGUAUUCAAUGUUAUCAACAUAUUUACCGGUCAUUUUGGAACACUUUUUUAGGCACAGAAGCUAUCGACUGAAAGCAAAGGACUAGACUUAAUGGAUAAAUCAAUUUUCGACUCAUGUUCAUUUGCAACAGUGUUGAAAUGCAUAAAUAUUAGCCUGCUUUGUGUCCAGGACCAUGCUGCUGAUAGGCCAUCAAUGUCAUCUAUUGUUCUAAUGUUAAGUAGUCAUGACAUAAAUUAGGAAAUAGGGUCAAAGACCUCAUUGCGAUGGACCCUGACUAAUAUGGAUUCGUGCCACAUAAGGCUCAUUUAAGGAAGACUUAGGUCUCGAACCUAAGAUCUUAACCAGUGGAAGGUUCCAACUAUAUUUUCUGCAUUGGCAUAUUGUUUGAUGAACAUAAUUCAGUCCUUAUCCUCUCAUACCCAUUAACAAUAUAAUUUGUUUAUAUUAGAUAUAUAAAUCAUUCCCUGCUUCAAACAACAAAAACGUUAAUGACGUCCGGAGAUAGGAUAGUGUAUAUGCAGAUCUUACUUCUACAAGGUGGAGAUAUACUCAUUUGAAAAGGAUUUGAUCCCCUGCAGAGAGUGAAGGAAUCCGAAUAUUACUUUACUAUAUUACUCUUAUUUAGAAAUGAUAGUUAGAAGGACUAACACUGCAUUAAAUUAGUUGUACAACGUGCAAAGAAUUUUGUACAUUAACUUUUGACUUUAUUAAAUUAGUUGUACAGCGUGCAAAAAGAAUUGUACAUUAACUUUUUGAAUAAAUAGGUAUUAUAUGUUGCCAGCUGUCUGAUGAUUCACUAUAUUGAAGACAUGUGUACUACCUUUUAUUACUCAUACAUAUAUACAGUUACCACCAGACACAAUAGCUCCAAAUAUAUAUUACUUUAACUGUCUCAAUUUAAAGAUUUUGAAUGGUUAAUUAUUGUGAUUUAUAUUACUCCUUAUUAGAAGUGAGACUUUAGAGGACGAACACGGCACUACCAAGUUGUACACAAAGCCUUUCAAAGUGUACUAUAAAAUUAAUUGUGGCUCAUUAAUUGUACACGUGUCUUUCUACAUAUACAACAACCCACAUGAAUAAUUAUUUUUCUGACUUUUUUUCCUCAAUUUCUCUCUCUAUAUAUUCGUUUUUUUUNNNNNNNNNNNNNNNNNNNNNNNNNNNNNNNNNNNNNNNNNNNNNNNNNNNNNNNNNNNNNNNNNNNNNNNNNNNNNNNNNNNNNNNNNNNNNNNNNNNNNNNNNNNNNNNNNNNNNNNNNNNNNNNNNNNNNNNNNNNNNNNNNNNNNNNNNNNNNNNNNNNNNNNNNNNNNNNNNNNNNNNNNNNNNNNNNNNNNNNNNNNNNNNNNNNNNNNNNNNNNNNNNNNNNNNNNNNNNNNNNNNNNNNNNNNNNNNNNNNNNNNNNNNNNNNNNNNNNNNNNNNNNNNNNNNNNNNNNNNNNNNNNNNNNNNNNNNNNNNNNNNNNNNNNNNNNNNNNNNNNNNNNNNNNNNNNNNNNNNNNNNNNNNNNNNNNNNNNNNNNNNNNNNNNNNNNNNNNNNNNNNNNNNNNNNNNNNNNNNNNNNNNNNNNNNNNNNNNNNNNNNNNNNNNNNNNNNNNNNNNNNNNNNNNNNNNNNNNNNNNNNNNNNNNNNNNNNNNNNNNNNNNNNNNNNNNNNNNNNNNNNNNNNNNNNNNNNNNNNNNNNNNNNNNNNNNNNNNNNNNNNNNNNNNNNNNNNNNNNNNNNNNNNNNNNNNNNNNNNNNNNNNNNNNNNNNNNNNNNNNNNNNNNNNNNNNNNNNNNNNNNNNNNNNNNNNNNNNNNNNNNNNNNNNNNNNNNNNNNNNNNNNNNNNNNNNNNNNNNNNNNNNNNNNNNNNNNNNNNNNNNNNNNNNNNNNNNNNNNNNNNNNNNNNNNNNNNNNNNNNNNNNNNNNNNNNNNNNNNNNNNNNNNNNNNNNNNNNNNNNNNNNNNNNNNNNNNNNNNNNNNNNNNNNNNNNNNNNNNNNNNNNNNNNNNNNNNNNNNNNNNNNNNNNNNNNNNNNNNNNNNNNNNNNNNNNNNNNNNNNNNNNNNNNNNNNNNNNNNNNNNNNNNNNNNNNNNNNNNNNNNNNNNNNNNNNNNNNNNNNNNNNNNNNNNNNNNNNNNNNNNNNNNNNNNNNNNNNNNNNNNNNNNNNNNNNNNNNNNNNNNNNNNNNNNNNNNNNNNNNNNNNNNNNNNNNNNNNNNNNNNNNNNNNNNNNNNNNNNNNNNNNNNNNNNNNNNNNNNNNNNNNNNNNNNNNNNNNNNNNNNNNNNNNNNNNNNNNNNNNNNNNNNNNNNNNNNNNNNNNNNNNNNNNNNNNNNNNNNNNNNNNNNNNNNNNNNNNNNNNNNNNNNNNNNNNNNNUAUAUUGAAUGUAAUUAUAAUAAAACAUGUUGUAUUUAGUAUGACAAAAGAAUUCAAAAUUUUUAAAAAUUAAAUAAAUAGUAAUCCUAACUUCUAAGAAAUGUCACAAAUAUAUAUAUAUGUGUGUCUGUAAGAAAAUGAUAUAAAUUACAUUAAUGAUGAAAUGAAGAUUAAGAAAAGAAGUAAAACAAAUUAAUAAUAAUAUUGAUGAUGAUAGGAGUUAAAUAAAUCAUUUUUUAUAUUUUGUAAAUUUUCAAUAUAAAUUUUUCAGUCUUUUAAAAUUAGAAAAUGCUAAAAAAAUAAAACUAAAACUAAAAAUCGAGGCAACAAUUAUUUUAAGGAAAAAAUAACAAAAAAUGUCAGAAACAUUGAUCAGAAUAAAUAAGUAUCUAUUGCUAAGAAGGUGUCACCCCACAUUUUCUAUUUUAGCUUUAUUAUUACAUAUAGAUAGGAACUUUAAGAUGAAGAAUGAUCCAAAAAUUUUAAAAAUAACAAAUCAAUUAUGUAAAAAUACAUGUGUAAUUCUUAUAAAGUUAUAAUAACUAAUUUCUUCAAAUAAAUAAUUAAAUGAAAGAAAAAAAAGUAAUUAAGAAAAUAAUAUAAAUAACACUAAUUAUGAGAUUAAUAGCAUUGAUGAGGAAAGGAACUAAAUAUGAUCAUCUUUUUAAAUUCUUUUUUAAGAAAAUAUAUAUAAACUUUAAUUAAAGAUAAAUAAGAAAAAAAACCUUUAAUUAAACAUACAAAAAAUCAAGACAAAAUUAAAGAAGAAAGAAAUUAGAAGAAUAAUGACAUUGAAAUAAAUAAUAUCUAAUUUUCUCUCUUUUCAAAUUACAAAAUAAAUUUUUGCUUGUUCUCCUCCUAAUUUGAUACGAAUUCCAUAAAUAGAAUGAUUUUUUCUCCGAAUAAUUUUUCUUACCCUUUCAAACACUAAUCAGACUUCUUAUAAAUUUCUCAACCACAAUGAAUUUUCUCUCCUUGUAGGAGGAAUAAACAUUUUUUCAAAAAGUCUUUUAUUUUGAAAAGAAUUUUUUGUUACAUAAUCUCUUUCUUUACAUCAAUGUCUUCACAAGAAUAAUGAGAUAUUCUCUCUUUCUCUUUUGUUAAAAAAGUCACAUGACCUAGAAAUUUGAUGGACAUCUUAGCGACAAAAGUUGAUACCAUAUAUUGAUCAUUAUCGUCAGAAGAAGAAGAGCCAAAGUGAAGAAAUUUGUUCUUAUUUGUUACAAAUGCUCAACUAUUUUGUUUUUAUUUUAUAGGCUAAAUAAUUAUAAACAGUUAUAAAAAAUGAAUAGUUUUUAUCUUUUCAUCUUCCAUUUUCAUUUACUUAAAUCUAUAUUAGUGUAAUGGAUGUUAUAAAGGGCAUAAUUAAUCGGGUAUGACAUAAAUACUUUUUUUUUAAAUACAAAUAAAAAAUACAAAACACAGAUAAAAUGUCAAAAAAAGGAAAAAAAAGAUGAAUACAAAUACUGGUCAUAGAGAGAUGCCACAUCAAAUUGUCAAUAUUCAGCUUUAUAUAUACAUAUAUAGGUUCAUGUCCUUAGAUGUUAUUUUAUUACUUUAGCUGGCAUCGACAUUUUUGUAAAUCUGAUAUCUACUUUGGAACAUUUUAUAAUGUGGCAUAGGCUGACAAUUGAGAUCAUAAAUUUAAAAUAAUAAAAUUUAAUUUAUUAUAAUACUAAUAUCAAUAUCAUAAAGAUAUAUAUAUAUAUAUAUAUAUCAUUUAAAAAAUAUAUAAAAAGUAUUAUAAAUUAUAAUAAUUAACCGCUUUUUAAAACAAAUUCAUAUAACUAAUUUGAUUUACACUCCAAAAUUCAUAGGUGUCACAUAAUUUACACAUUAAUUCUUCAUUACUUAAUAUAUGUAAUUAUAUCAAUGACAUAUAAAUUGAAAUUAAAAAAUACAUAUUUUAUUUGAAAAUCACGUAAUAGUACUAUAAGGUAUAAUAAUUAACAACUCAACAUAUUUUAAAAUUUUAGUUGACUCUCCGAAUUCCAUAUGUCUCAUGUAAUUGAGACAGAGAAAAACAUAUAUUGGUUUAAAAUUAAUAAAAAUAUUAUAAAUUAUAAUAAUUAACAACUUAAAAUUUAUAAAAAAAAUCCUUUAAAAAAAUUUAGUUGGCUCUCCAAAUUCAAUCGGUAUUACAAUAAUUAAAACAUAGAAAUUAACAUAGAUUGGACUCCUGCUAACAUUUAUGUUUCCUUUUUUAAAUUUUUUUCUUUUAUACUUUAUAUAAAUAAUUUUUUUAUGUAAAAAGUAUUAUAAAUCAUAAUAAUUAAUAGCUUAAAAUAUUUCAAAACAUAUAAACAGUUUUUGUUAACUUUCAAAAUUUCAUCUAUACCGCAUAAAUUGGAGAAAUAUAGAUAUAUAGAUAUUUUAAGUUGCUAAUUAUUGUGAGUUAUAGUACGUUUUAUGUAAUUUUCAUAAAUAUUACUUGCUUUGUCCUGAUUUAUGUGAUACAAAUGAAUUUUUUAUAAGUUUUUUUUUAUAUUAACUUGUUAAUUAUUGUGAUUUAUAAUAUAUUUACGUAAAACAUACUCUAAAUAAAAAUAAUUAGCAACUUAAAAUAUAUAAAAACAUACUAAAAAAUUGAUUAACUUCAAAUUUCAUAUGUACCACAUAAAUUGAAACAGAAACAGUUAACAUAUAUUGGGCCCCGUGCUGGCACGGGGUCCCAUAUCUAAGUAUAUUAUUAUUAUUAUUAUUACUCAUAUUUAGAAAUGGGAGUUUGAUGUACCAACACAGCUUUAACGAGUUGUACCAAAAGCUAUCUUAUUUGUACAGUAACUAUGACCAACAUAGCAACAAAUAGUUGUACAAUAAGCAACAUAAAGUGUACAGUCAAGUUGUUUCCCAUUUAACACGUGUAAAUACACUAACUUUUCCCUCAGACAACAUGUAUCCCUCAACAAAAUAAACAUACAUCUCACCAACACCCCUUCAAAGAAUAAACUUGAUCUCACUGCUUUCAAGCUUUAGGUUUCAAUAGUCUAUGAGUUCUCUUUCUCCUAUUCUGUUCUAUUUCAAUUUCAAGUCUCUGUACUCAUUAAUUUUGGUAUGUUUGUAGUUAAAUUUAUUUAGAGAUUUUUGGAUUUCAAAGGUUUGCUCUGAAUUUUGUUUUUCCAGUUCCCAAGUUAUUGUUCUCUUCAUUUCUUUCAGUUUCAGCUUAACCUUGAUGAAUAUAGGAAUCACAAUUUUGGUAUGUGUAUCUUAGUUUCUUAUUCUUUUAGAUACAAUUUCUAGCUAAAAUUAAUUUCUACAUGCAUGUUUAACUAACUACCUGAUUUGCACAUCCAAGUUGUUUGAUUAUAUGCCUCACUUAACUUAUUUGAAGUUUCCUGUUGCCAUUCUCUAUUUUUGGGCUGUAGCAAGAUAGUCUUAUCAUCAACUGAUGUACCAGAAAAUAUUCAUUAGAUAGAGAAGAUCAUCAAGAUUUUGCAGGCGCUGCCGAACUUAUUUCAAUUUCAAGAGCUUAUAUCACAAUAAUGUCACAAAAUUAUUAUUUUAUAACAUUAAAGUAAUCAACUGUGUCCACCAAAGUACAGUAAAAUCAACCCAACAUUUCAGACUCAUGGUCUGAUUUGAUUGUAAUAUGUACAAAGAGUUGAACUGCUGCAACCUUUGGUGGUAAGUGAAUGAUAUCAUAUAUCAAUAUUUUUAGCUAUGCAAGAAGGAACAAGCCAAUGGACUUGAUUUUUUUUAUCUUCUAAGCACCACAAUGCACUUCCUUGCUUGAACUCUUGAUGUUGUGCUUGGUUUGUCAGAGGAGGAGCUCUUUGUUUUGAUGAGAGUUUUUAGGAAUCUUGCACUGUUUACUAUACUCACUUAGUUCUCCAUCUGCAAGGUAUAUGUUAGUUCCUAUUUUGGGUUUUAAUUAAUUUGUCUAUUCUUUUGAGUUGUUUCUUGUGGAUUUCUGAUUAUCCUUUAUGCAUGCAAAUGAUUUUAUUGUGAUUUGUACAUACAUCCUUGAAAAUACAUAGGUGCAAUGGAGUUUAGUUAUAUCAUAUUGUUCUUAGAUGAUAUCAUUGAAGUGCUGUGACACUAAUUCUUGGAUGAUACUGAUUAAAGUGGUGUCGCAGUGGCAAUAGAAAUAAAAUUCAAUUUUGUAAUUUCUGACACUCACCUUAUUUUAAGCUUUCACCUUCUAACGCGUGAACUAUAACAAUAGACAUGUGUAGUGCCUUUUUUGAUAACUAUUCUUUCAAUGUCAACACGAAAAUUGACUUCAACACUGCUCUUCUCUGAAGAUUUCAUUUUUCUCAGGCUCUUUUAGAGGUAAGUAUAUCUUUCCUUUCAAUGUAUUUGCAUCUAUGAAUAUGAAUGUUAAAUUUGACUGAUCAUAAACAAUUUUGAUAAUAAAAAAGGUGUUGGUUCUUAUCGUGAUAGAUUAGUAGAAUGGUAAAGUUUCAGUUGCAAGGGUCAAUUCAUCAUUUGGUAAAUCCUUCUAUUUAGAGGUGUAAUUUUUUAAUUUUAUUUCUACGAGCAUCUCUAGAAGAAGAAGCACAGGAAGUGGUAAGAUGUUAAUGGAUUUUUUCUCUAUUGUUGAAAUAUUGGAGUAAAAAGUAUUUACUUUUUUGUAGAGUUGUUGAUUAACUACUUACUAAUUUCUUAUUUGAUGAAUUUGUGUGAAUAAAUUGAUUUAUGUUGAGGGUAGGAGUUGCAAGUUUCUUUACUUUAUUUUUGCAAGGAACUGGAUGAUGUUUUAUGGUCGAAUACCACUUGACCAUAAGGAGAGAGGCAUUCAACCACUUCACUCUAAUGAGAUGAGUUUAGCAAAAAAAUUAGUUCAAAAGAAGCCACACGUUUAGAUAGAAAGAAUAGUUAAUGUCAAUUAGAGACAACUUUGUUGAACUCUUCCUUUUCGGGACUUACCAUCAUAUAUGAAUUAUGUUAGUAUGAAUCUAUGUAUUUGUCAACCUUCUGAUGGAGGCAUAUAGUAUCACUCAUCUAAUUUGCUAAUAACUUUUGGAACUACCGAGAUUGUUUUUUGAAAAUGGAUUCUUGCAAGUUUUCUUAUAUCUUCUAAAAUAGUUCUGCUCAAGAGGAGGAAAGCCAGAAUAUUUUACAUUGUACUUGACUCUGCCAAAUCUCAGGUUGUGGUGAUCUCACCCCGUGAUGAUGUUGUGGAGGCAGGACAUUAGUAGUAUUGUUGUGAGCAUGUACAUAAAGGUUGUCUUUAUCUGUAAUUUCUGAAAAAUAUUGUAGAUCUCAUUAUUUUUCUUGCCAUCCCUAUAAUCUGAUGAAUAACAACAAGGAAAAGAAAAUUAGCAACAAGAUAAUCUUGCAAGAAAUACAAGUGCAGUUAUGGUUCUAUAUAGAGACCCGACUACAUAGCUACUUGCUCUUACCUUAAAGGAAAAAAAUGUACUGAUAUUAGAUGAUUCAGUUCUUGAAUUUAUCACUUUUUAACAUAUGUAUGUUUUUACCAUUUGCAGCCUCCUCCUUUUUUGUCUGGCAACUUAGCUUCUCUACAAUAUCAGCACCUACUACAUUUUAGUAAAUAUUUCAAGUCUUUCCUUAUCCAUCAUCUUUUUUCAUUUGCCUUUUCAUUUAUUUCAGUGCCUAAGGAUGAUACAAGCAAACCUUGGAAGCUGACUUCCUUCUUGGGUUAUAAGGUUGGAAUAACCCACAUUGUGAGAGAAGUUGAAAAACAUGUAUCAAGUAAAUUCACCCUUUUAUUGAUAACAUUUCAGUUCAAUAUUCACAUUUUCGGCAUACAUUUAUUAUUUAGACUCGGGGUUGCUAGCGUUAUCCUACUAGCUUUCACUCCAAGGGAAGAUACUACUAUGUUGAUGCUAAAUAUUGAUUUUGACAUCUUAUUUGUUGAACUGUAAGACUCCACAAGAGAAAAACUUGUGAGAUGGUCAGUAUAAUUGAAACACUCUCAAUGGUGGUAGUUGGUGUUGUUGGGUAUGUUAUGACAUUCUCCAAGGAAGAGGCCAUUAUGAAGUACUGCUACAAAUAGCUGAUGAAUACCAAAGAUAUUCAGGAACACUUGGAGAAACUGAACAAGUAUGCUUGUGUCAUCUAUGUGUUAACUCUCACACAUGUAUCAAAUUUGAAUGCCAUCCCUCAGAUUUUGGGAGACCAUUGCUUGAAUAAGCUCUAGCUAUAUAUAAAAAAUGUAUUUCAAUAAUCAUGUGUUUCUCUGAAAUCGUAUUUAGACCAACAUUCAUGCUAUCAGUUAUAAUUAUAAUAAGAGGUGCUGUAAGAAAUAGUUUUUAAUUGAUAUUUGCACCUCUUAGAGUUAAAUAAGCGUUGUAAGGAUAAUUUUAGUGAUACUUGUAUGUCAUCUUAUUUUGCUAAGAAACAUGUGUGUGUUCUUUCAAAUUCACUAAUAGUGAUUAUUUAUGAAGUCAGUUUAUUGAUGAUAUAGGACUCGAGAAUGUGAACAAGAUAGCAAGAUAUCACCUACAAGACAUUUACUGGUUUCUGUCUAUAAUGUUUAUACCCAUGGAGUGGUCGUAUGCACUUAUCAUCACUUACCCAAUCAUGCACUUGUGGUAUCAUCACUUACCCAAUCAUGUAUUUGUGAUACGUAGCCUAUUUGAAACAAAAUGAUCAAUAUUAUUUAAAGGUAUAUGAACUCAUGUUUUCGUACAUGUAUAUGACAAUGUCAUGUUCUACCCAUAUAGUUAAAUUGAUUAGGUUGUAUUGUUGCGGUGAAAAAGGCGACACUAAAAUCAACUAUGUUGGGCCCGUGCUAAAACGGGCCUAGGCGAAUCUAGUAUUAUAUAAGCCAACAAACAUGGACGAACACUGCAUCACUUGAUAGUACAAAACGUUAUGUAAGUUGUACCAUCAACAACUUAAUUUUUCAGCCUUUGUAGACACGUGUAUGGCAAUCCAAUUAUUUGUUUCCUUUUUUAUUUUAUUUUUUGUUUCCAGGUCAUAUUUUCUCUUCUCCUCACAUCUUCUCUGUUAGCUACUCUCUGCAAACGUUUGAGAUUUUGGGUAUUUUUGGUGAGAAUUGGAUGGAUUUUUUCGAGAUCAUCUUGCAUUAUUAUCAUCGAUAUAAUAAUUUGGUAUAUUUUAUAUUUGUUACUUUUCAAUUAGUUUGAAUAUAAUUUCUUGCUUGAAUUUCAGGUACACGUUAGUAAUUUAACCUUAUUAUUGCAUGCAUUUAGUUUCUUUGAUUAAUUUCGUCUAAUCUUCAUUUAGUGCUUGAGUUUCUCUUAAACGAUUCAUAAACUUUCUUUGAUUAGAGAAGAUGUGGAGAACUACUUCAGGUGCGUGUGUUGACUUAAUUUUUGUUUCAACUUGAAAUUCUUUUAUGGAACUGAGCUAUGAAUCUAUUGUUUAUUUAUAUUCUUUUCACUAACCUGCUACUCUCUGCUCCCAAUUUAAGUUGUCUCUUUAGUAUGUGUACAAAGUGGAUAUAUUAGGUAACUUUCUGAGAUAAACACUUUUAAGUAGAAAAAAAAAUGAUGCUCGGAGUGAAUUUUUUUUAUAAGCAAAUCUUGAAAAAUCUUUGAGAAGUGUAGAGAAAAGCAUUGUCUGCAACAAAUUGAACAAAUCAACUUAGAAACUACUUAUGGUAGUGAAAGACUUGACCUUUUUGAUGGGUCUUCCGUAUUGCCUUCUCUCAUCGUUAAAGGUGCCGCAAGCCACUUGACUAGAAGGAGUGGAUGUUAGGCACGCACGUAAGACUCUGACUAUGCACUUGCACUAUCCCUGGGAAUGGAUUCUUCUUUGAUUGGAGGAACGGGACAUAAGAGAACCAGAACCAUAUCAGAUUAGUUAUUAUUUUUCCUGCUCCUGGUGAUUUCUUUCAUCAACGAUGAUAGUUUCCUUCAAAUUUGAUGUUUAUGCGUUUUUGCUUAUUUUCGCCGCAUAUAUAAUUUGUUGCUGCUCUUUUAAAUGAAGUGAACUAGCAGGAAGAAUUCUCGGUGGUGGCUCUAUCUGAAGCAAUUUCCCCAUAACUGACACUUGCAAAUUUAGCAAAUUCAAAACAUUCACAUUGCAAGUUUGUGACAAUUCCAACCAAUUAAAAUACAUUUCAUAAUUGGAAAACACUUCUUCUGCUAUGCACCUGUGAUAUUUGAUGAAAUGUCUUGCUCAUCUUAUUUGGCAAUAACUUAUGGUGCUAUUGGUCAUAUCUUAAAAGUUGUGCGUUUAAUACUUGAGACAAUAAUUUGUUAUGUUGAUGAGCUUACUAAUAACAAUGUCUUGAUGCAGAGUACAAAAGCAUCUUAUAGCGAUGGUGACCCGAUUGAAGUGCAAUGAUAAGGUGAGAACUAUGCAUCAGAACUUGGUAAGCAUAUCACACAUUAUGUCAUACAAAUGUUAGUCAGUGGAGAUAUCUCAUAAUUGUGUUGCAUAAAGAUCAUGUGAAUUUUAUUUUCAAGUUAUGAGAUGGUAUAUAUGAAUUCCUUUAUUUUGAUGGAUAAUAUUUAUACUUGAAAGUUAUUAGAAUAAUUUGAAAUUAAGAGAAAUGAUAAUUUUGUUAGAUCAUUUUGCGUUCAUUAAAGGUUGAAGACUUUGUCGUCUUAUUAAAUGCUCAUGUAUUAUAGUAUUGGAACACAAUUAACUUGACAACAAAAUGAUCUACUAAUCUUAAUUAGAUGUCCAUACAAUUUACAAAAAGGACAUUUGGAACAUUUAAAUUAAAGUGUGGUGGUGGUGGGGGUGCUUGGAUUAUAAUUUAUUUAUUUUUGGUUAAAAGAGGAGAUAUUAUAUUAUAAUAUUAUGUAUCAAUACAAAUAGAGAUGGCUGCAUUAUGGCUAGUGCAUGAGUUAUCAGACCAUAUAACUUGGUUACAAUUCAAAUUACAUUGAGGCUUAUAGGCUUGUAGAAUAUGACUUUUUACUCUUUCUGCUUCUAGUAUCUUCCAAACAAACCACGGUGGAACUCUCCAUUCCUCAAAAAGCUUGUCCGAUUUAAUCUUCUGGCCUUCUUUGGCUAGCAGGUCCACCACUUUAUUCUUUCCUCGAGGCUCAUGCUUGAUUGGGGGGUUCCCCAUUCUAUGGAUCAAAUCCCUGCAUUCAUUUAACAUAUUUGUGUGAGUAUCUCUUUCAUUUUGAAGAAAGUUAAUUACCUCGAGUGAAUCAGUUGCUAUCUCCAAGUGUUGAACCUAUAAUUUUUCAGUUAGAAGAAAUCCAUAUAAUAGAGAUGAUAGUUUAUCAUUUGUUGACGAGUUUACAUUAAUUUUUGCACUAUAACCAGCUAUCCAAUUUCCAUCGGUGUCACGCAAAAUGCCCCUUGCUCCCCCUAUUUUUGUGUUGUGGUUAAAAGACCCAUCUAUAUUUGUGAAAGAAUGUUGUAAAUAUUCUAUUACCUUAUAUAGUUAACAGUAUCAUAAGAGAAAUCUGUAAGAAUCAUAGGAGAGAUCUGUAGGAUAUUUUCUUACCUUUGGUAUAUCUUCUUGCUAGUAUAUAAAUACAUGUAAUGCUGAUAUCUAUGAAAUAAGAAGUUCUGUUGAAUUUCAUGGUAUCAGAGCCACUAGGGCUCAAGAUUUUGAUUUAGAAAAUUUGGAACUUUUCCUAGCAUCUUAGGAAAAGGUUUCGACUUCUUGGAAUUGGCAGAUUACGUCUGCGCUUGCUGCCCCAGCAUCGACUUCUAGGUUUGUAUUUUUCCCUUUGCUUCUGUGACUGCUUUGGUCAGUUCUAGUGUUGAUCUAUUGCUCUUAUCAACCAGUUUGGUGGCAGAUUUUUGAUCAUUUGUUCUUCUUGAUCAAUUUCUUGGCUAAACAUUAGUUUAAAUGGCUAAAGAUAAAUCUGCCAUGACUGAAAUUGUUCCAGCAUUAUCCAAAAUUACAGAUUCUAAAUUAAAUGGGUUUAAUUAUUUAGAUUGGAGUAGAAAAAUCAGGAUCUACUUGCGUAGUGUUGAAAAGGAUGAUCAUCAUAUACAAGAUCCUCCAACCGAUGAUGGUAAAAAGGCUUGGCUUAGAGAUGAUGCUAGACUAAUCUUGCAAAUCAUAAACUCUAUUGAUAAUGAAGUUGUUGGUUUGGUUAAUCAUUGUGAGUUUGUUAAAGAAUUAAUGGAUUAUUUGGAGUAUUUGUACUCUGGCAAAGGUAAUUUAUCUCGGAUUUAUGAAGUUUCUAAGGCUUUCUAUCGUUCUGAGAAGGAAGCUAAGUCACUCACUACAUACUUCAUGGAGUUCAAGAAAACCUACAAGGAACUGAAUGUACUUCUACCAUUCAGUAUUGAUAGCAAGGUACAACAAGCUCAGAGGGAACAAAUGGCGAUAAUGAGUUUUUUAACUGGACUCCCAUCUGGGUUUGAGACUGCUAAAUCACAGAUUCUCUCCAGUUCUGAGAACACUUCUCUCAAUGAUGUUUUCAGUCGGGUGUUGCGCACAGAGAGUACUCCAGCCUAUCAACAGACAAAUGUGCUUGUUGGAAAAAGAGGAGGAGGAAGAAAUAAUGCAGGGAGAUGGAACAACAACAAUGAUGCUGGAAAAUGGAACAAUAACAAAGAUGGAGAAAAAUGGAAUCAUAACAAUGAUGCAGCGAAAUGGAACCAUAACAAUGAUGCAGGAAUAUGGAACAAUAACAACAAUGCUGGGGUAUGGAACAAUAACAAAGAAGGAAACAAUGAAGCUGGGAGAUGGAAUAAUGACAAUACUUGUCGCUAUUGUAAGGAACCCGGGCACAUAAGGCGAAACUGUAAGAAAUUACAGAAUCGCAACCAACAGACACAGACUACCGCUGCUGCCAUUUCGAGUUCACCCUCAACUGUUACAAUCUCCGCUGAUGAGUAUGCUAGACUUACAAAGUAUCAAGAAUCAAUGCCAGCUCCUGCCCUUACUAAGUCAGGUAACAAAUAUCUCAUUUCCUCCUCAAGCAACUGGAUCAUUGAUUCGGGUGACACAUAUCACAUGAUAGGUAAUCCCAAUUUUUUUUCUAAAUUCCGAGCACAUAAAGUACCAUCCUCUGUUACCAUAGCUGAUGGAUCUAGUUAUACCAUUGAGGGAUCUGGAAUCGUUAACCCCACUUCAUUUAUUACUUUGUCCUCUGUGCUAGGCUUACCUAGUUUUGCCUUUAAUCUAGUUUCUCUGAGUAAACUUACCAAAGAACAAAAAUGUUUUGUCUCAUUAUAUCCCGAUUAUUAUCUCUUUCAGGAUCUUAUGACGAAGCAAAUUAUUGGUAAAGGACAUGUAUUGGAUGGUCUAUACAUUCUUGAUGAAUGGGCGCCUCCACCAAUUGCUUGCUCUAGUAUCGUCUCGUCAUUUGAAGCACAUUAUCGUUUGGGACAUCCUUCUCUUCCAGUUUUGAAGAAAUUAUGUCCUUAAUUUCAAAAUGUACCUUCAAUAGACUGUGAGUCUUGACAUUUUUCAAAACACCAUAGAAGCUCGUUAAGUCCCAGAAAUAAUAAGCGGGCUGAUUUUGCUUUCGAAUUAGUUCAUUCAAAUGUUUGGGGACCAUGCCCUGUUGUGUCUAAAGUUGGGUUUAGAUAUUUUGUUACUAUUGUGGAUGAUUUUUCUUGAAUGACAUGGAUUUACUUUAUGAAAAAUCGUUUUGAAGUGUUUUCCCAUUUCUCAAAUUUUUGUGUUGAGAUUAAGACACAAUUUAAUGCUUCUGUACAUAUUGAGGAGUGACAAUGCUAAAGAAUUCAUGUCAUCAUCAUUUCAGAACUACAUGAAUCAAUAUGGUAUCCUUCAUCAAUCUUCGUGUGUUGAUACACCCUCUCAAAAUGGAGUGGCUGAGAGAAAAAAUAAACAUUUGUUUGAGACAGCUCAUGCUUUGCUAUUUCAAAUGAAGGUACCUAAGCAAUUUUGGGCGGAUGUGGUAUCCACAACUAGCUUUUUAAUUAAUCGCAUGCCAUCCACAGUGCUUAAUGGUGAUAUUCCAUAUGGUGUUCUCUUUCCUAAUAAGCCAUUAUUUUCAUUAGACUUGUUAUGUUCGUGAUGUGCGACCCCAUGUUACUAAACUAGAACUAAAGGCCUUGAAGUGUGUAUUUUUGGUAUAUUCUCGCUUACAAAAGGGUUCUCAGUGCUACUCUCCAACCCUUAACAGAUAUAUGGUGUCGAUAGAUGUGGUGUUCUCUAAAAGCAUAUCAUUUUUUUCCUCUCCCGACACUUUUCCCACUCAAGAGCAGCAGGAAGAAUAAUCUCAUUUAUAGGACCACUCCAUCGAGAUCAGAACACUAUAAGGAAGUUCCUGGUAGUGUUGAACAAGCAAUGGAAAAUGUGUCUUCUGAUGUUCCUCUUACUCAAACAAAGCCGCCGAUAGUUCAAGUUUAUUCCAGGUGACAAGUGACCAAUGAUACAUGUCCUGCACCAACUCUCUCGUCAUCUGAUCCUCCUCCAGUCAAUCUCUCUCCAACAGAAAAUCUUGACAUUCCCAUUGCUCUUCACAAAGGUAAGCGUCAAUGUCAAUCAAUAUAUUCCAUUGGUAAUUUUAUCUCAUAUGACCACUUGUCUCCCGCAUCUUGCUCUUUAAUUGCUUCUCUAGAUUCUAUCUUUGUACCCAAAAUAGUUCGAGAAGCUUUGACUCACCCUGGGUGGUAUGAUUCAAUGCUCGAUGAGAUACAUGCGUUAGAUGAAGAUCACACUUGGAAUUUGGUGGACUUACCAAAAGGGAAGAAGGCAGUGGGAUGUAAAUGGGUUUUUACAGUCAAAGUAAAUCCUGAUGGUUCUGUGGCUAGGCUUAAAGCCAGAUUGGUGGCUAAGGGAUAAGCUCAGACUUAUGGGGUGGAUUAUUUUGAUACUUUUUCUCCGGUGGCCAAACUCACUUCCGUUUGCUUGUUUAUUUCUCUGGAUGCUUCUCAAAAUUGGCCGCUACAUCAGUUGGAUAUCAAGAAUGCAUUUCUUCAUGGUGAUCUCCAAGAAGAAGUGUAUAUGGAGAAACCACCCGGUUUUUUUGCUCAGGGGGAGAAUGGGAAAGUAUGUCACUUGAAGAAAUCUUUGUAUGGUCUGAAACAGAGUCCACAUGCUUGGUUUGGGAAAUUUAGUGAGGUAGUUCAGAAGUUUGGGCUAACUAAGAGCAAUUGUGAUCAUUCGGUCUUUUACAAACAAUCAAUAGUUGGCAUUAUUCUUCUUGGGAGUGAUUAUGCAAGAAUAUCUUCUCUCAAAUUAUUCUUGCAUUCUAUGCUUCACACGAAAGAUUUGGGACAAUUGAAAUACUUCUUGGGAAUAGAAGUAAGUAGGAGCAAGAAGGGAAUAUUUUUAUCUCAAAGGAAGUAUAUCCUAGACCUUCUUGAGGAAACUGGAAAGUCGGCAACCAAGCCUUGUAGUACUCCAAUGAUCCCCAAUACGCAGCUAACAAAAGAUGAUGGUGAUCCAUUCGAUGAUCCAGAGAGAUAUAGGAGAUUAGUUGGGAAAUUAAACUAUCUCACUAUAAUUUGUACGAAUAUUUCUUUUGCUGUAAGUGUUGUUAGUCAAUUCAUGUCCACACCUACAAUCAAACAUUGGGAAGAUUUGGAACAAAUAUUGUGUUACUUGAAAGGCGCCCAUGGACUUGGCAUAGUAUAUAGAAACAAUGGACAUACUUGCAUUGAGUGUUUUGCAGAUGCUGAUUGGGCUGGAUCCAAGAUUGAUAGAAGGUCUACUACUGGCUAUUGUGUCUUUGUGGGUGGAAAUUUGGUAUCAUGGAGAAGUAAGAAACAAAAUGUUGUAUCUCGAUCUAGUGCAGAAUCUGAGUAUAGAGCUAUGACACAAUCCACAAGUGAGAUUAUAUGGAUACAUCACCUCUUAAGUGAAGUUGGGUUGAAGUAUCCCACACUAUCGAAACUUUGGUGUGAUAAUCAAUUUGCCCUUCAUAUCGCCUCAAAUCCAGUGUAUCAUGAAAGAACUAAGCACAUCGAGGUGGACUGCCAUUUUAUUCGUGAAAAGAUUCAAGAGAACUUGAUUUCCACAAGCUAUGUAAAGACAUGAGAGCAACUAGCAGAUUUGUUCACAAAUGCAUUGACGGGAGCUCGAGUUAACUAUUUGUGUAACAAGCUAGGCAUGAUCAAUCUAUAUGCUCCAGCUUGAGAGGGAGUGUGAAAGAAUGUUGUAAAUAUUCUAUUACCUUAUAUAGUUAGCAGUAUUAUAGGAGAAAUCUAUAAGAAAUUACAGAAUCGCAACCAAUAGACACAGACUGCCGUUGUUGCUGCCACUUCGAGUUCACCCUCAACUGUUACAAUCUCCGCUGAUGAGUAUGCUAAACUUACAAAGUAUCAAGAAUCAAUGACAACCCCUUCCCUUACUGAGUUAGGUAACAAAUGUCUCGUUUCCUCCUCAAGCAACUUCCCAAAUUUUUUUCUAAAUUUCGGACACAUAAAGUACCAUCCUCUGUUACCAUAGCUGAUGGGUCUAGUUAUACCAUUGAGGGAUCUGGAACCGUUAACCCCACUUCAUCUAUUACUUUGUCCUCUGUGCUAGGCUUACCUAGUCUUGCCUUUAAUCUAAUUUCUAUGAGUAAACUUACCAAAGAACAAAAAUGUUUUGUCUCAUUAUAUCCCGAUUAUUGUCUCUUUCAGGAUCUUAUAACGAAGCAGAUUAUUGGUAAAGUACAUGUAUCAGAUGGUCUAUACAUUCUUGAUGAAUGGGCGCCUCCAUCAGUUGCUUGCUCCAGUAUCGUCUCGUCAUUUGAAGCACAUUGUCAUUUGGGACAUCCUUCUCUUCCAGUUUUGAAGAAAUCAUGUCCUCAAUUUCAAAAUGUACCUUCAAUAGACUAUGAGUCUUGGCAUUUUGCAAAACACCAUAGAAGCUCGUUAAGUCCUAGAAAUAAUAAGCGGGCGGAUUUUGCUUUCGAAUUAGUUAAUUCAGAUGUUUGGGGACCAUGCCCUGUUGUGUCUAAAGUUGAGUUUAGAUAUUUUGUUACUUUUGUGGAUGAUUUUUCUCGAAUGACAUGGAUUUACUUUAUGAAAAAUUUAUAUCCAUAGUUCGGUGGAUCCCAACUAACAACAUCCUUGUUUUCCGUAUUACAUUUUCUACUCGUGUCCUUCCCAAUUAAGUGUAUAAAUUUCAUGGUUCUCUCGUAGAGAUUGGUCAUUGGAUAUUGUCUUUAGUAUUGUUAUGAUAAUUAUGGUUUCUAGAUAGCCAUAUAUUCCAAAUAUAGAAGGGAAAGACAAGGCUCCAAUCUAACUUGUUGUUUAUAAUUCUUUUUUUAAUCUUACGACAACUAUUAUGCCAAUCAACAUCGUUUAAAUCCGCUAUCUCCCUGAUUUCUUUCAACAUACCUUAAUUGUCCCAGUAUUGAUGGGCAAUGUAAAAAGAUGUGUGUAAUGGUUUCGGACCUACUACACAUAACACAAAGAGGUUCAAUAUUAAUACCUACAGAAUUAAGGUAAUGACAGGUAGGUAGACGAUUAUGAUUACAGAGCCAUAUGAAAUAUUUGAUUUUGGUAGGACAAUUCAGGCUCCAUAUCCAGUUGUAAUCCUUAGUGUUUUGUAUGAUCAUACUAUGAUUAUCCUUAGUGUUAUGUAUGGUCAUGCUAUGAUUAUCCGUGGCAUGUUUAUAAACAGAACUUGUAGAGAAAAAAACAUGAGGUGUUAGGGACCAUGUGAGGGUAUCAACUGGAUUCAGGUUUCUGGGUAUAUAAAUGGCUUUGAUACUGUUUUCCACCUCCUUUGGUAUCAAAAGUUCACUCAUUCUGUUUUGGUUCCAAGAUCCAUCAACAAUAAUAUCACUAACUGUCAUAGCCAUUUCAUCUAUUGUACGAGGCCCGUUAAUAAUGUGGUACAAAGGCCUACUAUUGGGUAUCCAUCUAUCUGUCCAUAGUUUGAUGUUUUUUCCAUUACCUAGAUCCCAAAUAGUACAUUCUUUACAAAACUUCCAACCUAGCAUAAUAUUUUUCCAAGUACUGAUAGUGGUUAUUAAAUGUUUGUCUAUGGUGUUAAAGAUUAGUAUUUCUAGUAUAUUUAAUAAUAAGGAGGGCAACCCACAAAGUUGUGGGAUUUUUAUAUAUUCUCUAGGCUAGUUUUGAGAUAAAGACAUCAUUUUUUAACUUGUAGUUUUGAAUUCCAAAACCUACUUGCCCCUUAGGUCUAGUAACUAUAUUCCAGUUUAGUAGGUGUAAUUUCCUUUUAUAGUCAGUAGUACCCCAAGUGAAAUUCCGUUGAAAACGAUCUACUUGUUUGGAGAUGUUAUUAGGUACUUUUAUAUAUUGCAUAACAUGGGUUGGAAUGUUAUUUAGGGAAGAUUUGACUAGAGUUGUGCGUCACGAAAUAUUCAAGAAUCUGGUUUUCCAUCCUGCAAGUUUUGUCAGCAGGUUAUCCAAGAUGAAUUGGUAGUCCCUUUUCAAAGGUCUUUUAUGGAAGAUUGGAAAGCCAAGAUAUUUUCCAAAGAAUUCGCUCGACUUUAUAUUCAUAUGAUUUGAUAUAUCAUCCUUAAUUUUUUGGGAGCAGUUAUUAGAGAAAAUAAUUUUUGAUUUAAGGUUAUUGAUAUUUUGGCCAGACCACUCACAAAAGUUCCCAAGGGUGUCUUUGAUAACUUUACAGUCAUUCAAUGUUGCUUUAGACAUUAGGACUAACUAAUCGGCAAAAAAUAGAUGAGAAAGGGAGGGACCAUGGGUCGAGAUUUUUAUGGGAUUCCAAUUUUUUGCAUCGAUGACUUGACUAAUAUUAUGAGAUAGAACUUCCAUGCAUAGUAUAAAGAUAUAUGGCGACAUAUGAUCUCCUUGUCUAAGUCCCCUUGACGGUUUACAAGGAUAGCGACAUUACUUGUGCAUAUGCAGGACAUUAUAAGGUUUAUAAUAUUAAGAGGAAACUUAAAAUAGUGAAGAGUGUAUCUUAUAAAAGACCAUUCUAAUUUGUCGAAAGCCUUUUCAAGGUCAAUUUUCAUGAUGAGGUUACCAAGCUUUCCUUUCAUUUUCUUGAAGUGGUUAAUGAUUUCUUGUACGAUGAUAGCGUUAUCAGUAGCUUGUCUAUUUUUUAGGACGCUCGUUUGAUGGCCCCCUAUCAAUUUGUCCAUUAUCGGUUUUAAGUCUUCUAGAGAUGAUUUUGGUUAUGAUUUUGUAAGAAGUGUUGCAGAGGCUAAUAGGACGAAAGUUUUUCAAAGUUGUAGCAUUUUUACAUUUUGGAAUCAAGCAUACAUGUGUGUAGUUUAUGUCUUCAGGAACACGUUCUUCCUUGAAGAUCUUUUUACAGAAUGAGAUCACCGAGACCCCUACAAUAUUCCAGUAAUUUUGAUAAAAGAAGGGGUGAAGUCCACACUACACCAAAAGAGACCUUUAGCGGCAAUUAGUUUUUCUUUUAGCGGCAAUAGUUAUUGCCACAACUACAUUUACCGGCAUUUGAUUAAAUGCCAUUGGAUCCAGUGUCGCUAAAGCCUUUAGUGUCAUUUGUGUCGGGUGCCGGUAAAGACCCUUAUUAUUGCCGCUAAAAGUAAUUACUUUUAGCGGCCUUUACUAUUGCCAUUAAAGCUACUUUAGAAACAAGCACAUAUGUAGCAUUUGCUAUUGCCGGCAAAGAUGAUCAUAGAUUCAACUUGAUUCACAUAUUUAGCCCUCUUUUAUAACAUCAAAAACAAAAUUCACAAGAGAAAUAAGUUCAAAGGUAGUAAAGAAGAAUUACCAAACUGAAAACAAUGUCAUUCACUUAAAAUAAGAACAAACAAUCUUAAUACAUUCAAUUUCUUAUCUUGUAGCGGUAAAAGAAACUAUGAAUUAUCAAAAUAGAAAAAAUGUGUUCAACAAUGGAGAAAAUAAGGCAAUUAAGCCAGUGUUUGUUCCCUAAUGCAAAAUGUGACAGCUUUCUGGAUCAGUGUGUCAUUCCUUGAACAAGCUCACCAUUUGAAUGAGUAUGCCACUGUACACAUAUAGCGGUAGAUGGUUAGACGACAAAAAAUUGACAUGCAUAUUGGAUAUCUUACUCACUAUAUAAUAUCCUAAUGGUCUAUAUACUCAUUCAUGAGAUGCUUCAUUGGUGUUGUUGCUAUUUAUGUAACAGUUUGAGAAAUAAUAUGAUUAAAGCCAAUGAGUUGAUCACUAAUCAUGAUAUAAGGAUACAGAGAAAGGAAUGCAGUAGCAGACUACUUAGAAAAUUAUGACUUUGAAAAUCAACAAACAACAGUUUAAACAGCAGUAGCAGACUACUCAUGCCAAAAGAUUUGUUAAAAUACGUAAAUCACAACUAUCAGUCAUCAGAAUUACAACACACAGGGAAAGGUAAGAUCAACAAUGAAGAAUCACAAUUCAAGAGUCCCAAUUACUUACAAUUGACAGUGCAAUUGUAGUUUUUUCAAUGUCAGGUGUGGAAACUUUUUCAUAGUAUUUUGUUAUCCAGGGUUCAAUAAACUAUUUCAGAUGCCCAACCUGAGAGUACUUGAUUGGCAAUGUAAUCUCAACAUGAGUAAGCCUUAGAAAUCAAACAAAACCCACAGGCCAUAGCAUCUUGCACACUUAAAGACAUGAUGUUGCAGAGAUAACCACAAGCCUAGUGUUACCUAGAAGGACUACGAUAUGACAUACCAAAGGCAAUAGCCUCAAAAUUCAGUAUAACAAGGAAAUAGAUUUUGAGAAAGACAUACUNNNNNNNNNNNNNNNNNNNNNNNNNNNNNNNNNNNNNNNNNNNNNNNNNNNNNNNNNNNNNNNNNNNNNNNNNNNNNNNNNNNNNNNNNNNNNNNNNNNNNNNNNNNNNNNNNNNNNNNNNNNNNNNNNNNNNNNNNNNNNNNNNNNNNNNNNNNNNNNNNNNNNNNNNNNNNNNNNNNNNNNNNNNNNNNNNNNNNNNNNNNNNNNNNNNNNNNNNNNNNNNNNNNNNNNNNNNNNNNNNNNNNNNNNNNNNNNNNNNNNNNNNNNNNNNNNNNNNNNNNNNNNNNNNNNNNNNNNNNNNNNNNNNNNNNNNNNNNNNNNNNNNNNNNNNNNNNNNNNNNNNNNNNNNNNGGGACAAACCAUUCAUGAUCUUCAGGAUCUUGAACAAAUAUCACUUGCUGAGCUUGUCCAGCAAAAACAAAUGGCUCAUCACUUAUCCGGUCACCUGAAUGUAUUAGAUGUGAGAAGUUCACAAGUGUGAAACCUAAGUCGUCUUUCAUAACUCCUCGACCUUGAGUUACAUCAACCCAAUCACAUUUAAACAAGACGACUUUAAAUUUUUCAUAGUAGUUCAACUCAACAAUAUCAUUCAGUCUGCCAUAAUAUGUAAUAUUUCCUGAUUUUGGAGCACUGUCACUAGUACUUGCAUAGCUCUCUGUCAUUGAGACAACCAGAACCCCACUAUUUUGUGUCUGCAUGAACUCUUCAUACUGUUUUGUACGAAAUCGAUACCCAUUAUUCAUAUGGAAUGCCUUGAAUCUUCUUGCGAAGUAACAUGGACCUUGUGCAAGGGCUUUAACAUCAUUUGAGAUAUUAGAUAUGAGAUCCAACUCUUUGACCUGCCCAAAGAGCAAUAGACAACUGUAGUUACAAAUAUUAGUACAAGAGACGAUACUUUAAAGUAGGUGACUAUUGAAUCUUACUACUUACUUGCUCCUUGAACCAUUCAUGAAAAUUUUCAAAAUGCAAGCGAUUAAGCUGAUGUUGGGUAAGGCGGCGUUUGCGAUGCAAUCGUUUGAUUUCACUAAUAUGCUCACUGUACAAGAAAACUAGAGUUAACUGAACAAAUUAAGAAAUAUAUCCACUAGGGAGUUUGUUUUCCAUCUUCUUUUAACUCAAUGGCCUAUGUUUGAUUAUUGUUCAUACAGUAACAUGAAGCUUUCCAUCUUAUUUUAACUCUGCUUCAGUCUCUAAAACUUGUCUGCCAUCUAAUGACAUGACAUCAGAAUCAACAUGUAUAGAGACAAUUGAGACAACUGUAUCAAGAAAUUGCUCAAAAAUUAGCAAUCUUGCACCUCCAAAUUCAAACAUAGGUACAUAAAACGGCACAACAACAGUCAUGGUAGAAAUCAAAUAAAGUUAUCAUCUUUGCUAAGUUCUUGAAAUACCCAAAUCAAGAAAACACAUUCAAGGACUUAAAUUAAAUUAACAAAGAUAAUACUCACUUUUUGUAAUAGUCGACCACAUCUGAUUCACAAUUGAAAAGCACAUAUCGAUGUGCUUGCACCCAUGUUUUCUGAUCCAACUUAAUUACUUCUACAGAGCCAUAUGAUUUUCCAAUAGUAGGAAAAAGACAGCCUUCUUUAUCAAUAUCAUGUUUAGUAUCAUCUUUACUUUUCUAGACCAAUAAGACCUUGAAUCGCCACCUUCCAUAUACAGUGAGCAAGAUUGCAAACACUCAUUCGCAAUAUAUGCUUCAGCUAUCGAACCUUCUGGACAUGAAAGAAUGCGAACAUACGAUUUUAAUUUACGCAAGUACCUGUUGCAUAAAAUCAUUACAUUAGUCUAAUAUUUUAGCAAUUAAUAACUUAAAAAUGUAUGAUUAACAUAUAAUAUGAUUCUUCAUACCUCUCAAUUGGGUACAUCCAACGAUAUUGUACCGGUCCCGCAAUUUUAACCUCUAAAGCCAAGUGAAUAACCAAAUGUACCAUGACAGUAAAAAAUGAUGGUAGGAAAAUGGUCUCCAUAUUACUCAUAGUUUGUGCAAUUUUUUCUACCAGUAACUCUAACUCUUUGAAUUUAAGCACUUUGCUACAAAGCACUCGAAAAUAUGAGCAUAAUUCAAUUAAAACAGAAGUCACCCUUUUAUCUGCCGAUCUCCUCAAGGCAAUAGGAAGAAGUUCUUGCAAUAUAACAUGACAAUCAUGAGUUUUGAGUCCUGACAGGUUUCGUUUGCAAAUGCAACGCGAGAUAUUAGAUGCAUAGCCAUAUGGAAACUUAACAUUUUCUAAUACUUCGUAGAAUAACCUCUUUUCUUUCGGCGACAUUGUAAAAUAAGUAGGAGGAAGAUAUGUCCUUCCACUAGCUCGUUGUUGAGGCCAUAAGGCUGGUCUUAUAUUCAUCUCCUUUAAGUCCAAUCGAGCUUCCACAUUGUCUUUUGAUUUUUUACCAAGACCCAAUAAUGUAUAAAUCAAGUUAUCACACACAUUCUUUUCUAUAUGCAUCACAUCAAGGUUAUGACGAACCAAAUUAUACUCCCAGUAAGGAAGGUUGAAAAAAAUACUCUUUUUUUUCCAUGUGUUUUUCAUCACCCCGCUUGCCUUUUUACUUAACUGACCAAGGGUGAACUUUAUGCCUUUAACUUGAUUUAGAACUUGUGACCCAGAUAUAGGAGAAGGUGCGGGUCUUAAUUCUUUAGUCCCAUCAAAUGAUUUUGCAUCAUUUCGAUAUUUAUGUCCUUGCAUCAAGAAACGCCGAUGGCCCAUGAAACAAAACUUUUUACCAUGUUUCAGCCAUUUAGAUUGAGUGUUUAUGUUGCAGCAGGGGCAUGCAAAUUGACCAUUAGUACACCAUCCUGAUAGAGAACCAUAUGCUGGAAAAUCAUUUAUGGUCCACAUGAGAGCAACUCGCAAUUGAAAUGUCUCGUUAGAAAAGGAAUCAAUGGUUUUUGUCCCCACAGACCACAAAUCAUUUAACUCUUCAAGUAAUUUUGAUAGAAGAAGGGGUGAAGUCCAUCUGGUCCCGGAGCUUUGAAGGGUUGAAAAGAUCUCACAGCAUCAAGGAUUUCCCCCUCUGUUGGUUCUUUUCCUAAGUAUUGGCUAUCAUUCGGAGAAAGACUGAUUUUUCCAUAAAUCAGUGGGUGGUUGCUAGAUUUUAUAUGACUAGAAUUAAAUAAAAUUUUAAAAUAGUCAGCAGUGUGCUGAAUAAUGAGGUUCUGGUCAUAUAUCCAUGAGUCAUCAUCUAGUUGUAAUGAUAAAAUCUUAUUUCUCCUUCUACGAUUUAGGGUGGAUGUGUGAAAGAAUUUUGUAUUAGCAUCGCCCUCAUUUAACCAACUUAUUCUAGAUUUUAGUUUCCAAAACUCCUCUUCCAUUUUCAGAAUAGUAUUAUAUUCUUGUAUAAGAUUUUGCUCGAGGUUUAUUAGGAAGUGACUUUCAGGAUAAUUUUCAGAUUUUUGUAUACCUUGUAGUCUCCUUAUGAGCUUAUUCUUCUUAUAGAAGAUAUUAUCAAAUGUAUCUCUAUUCCAAAUAGUGACAUCUCUUACAAACUUGUUAAUGGCUGUAGGGAGAUUAGGAUUAUUAUUUCAAACAUUUUGAAUAAUAUUAACAAGUUCAGGGUGACAAGACCACAUAGAUUCGAAUCUAAAAAUGCGUUCCUUUUUAAAGUUGACAUUUUUUAGGAGACUAAGUAAUAAUGGACAAUGGUCUGAGUGAGUUCUAGAGAGAUGGAGAACUUGAGCGUCCGGAAAACUCAUGAGCCAUUCAUUAUUUGCAAAAAAAUGGUCUGGUCUUUCAAAAAUGAAGGCAUUUCUAUUUUUAAACCUUUUAUUUAGCCAAGAAUAUUUAUUACCUUUGAAACCCAUGUCUAUAAAUUCACAAUAACUUAUAACAUUCCAGAAGUCUCUUGUGCGAGGGUUACUUAAAGCAUUCCCGCCUUUUUUGUCUGAGUUAGAUAUAAGUUCAUUAAAAUCCCCACCUAUAAGCCACCUUCCGCCAAAGUUAUUUUUGAUAGUUUGGAGAUUUUGCCAUAAUAUUUUACGCAUAUUUCGAUAUGUACUAGCAUAAAUACAACUAAAUAACCGGGAGAUAUUUGUAGCACUUACCUUGAUCAUUGCAUUGAUUUCCUGUUCAGUUGUAGCAAUUUCAUCCAGUUCUAGCACGUUAUCAUCCCACAGCACAACGAGACAUCCUGAGUUUCCUACGGCUGGAACCUCGAUCAUUUUGUUGAAAUGAAAGUCAUCAAGUAAAACUUGGUGAUUCACCAUUUUUGUAUCCAGCAAGGCUACUAAUGGUGGCUUAUGCCGAUCCAACAAUGAUCUAAAGUUCCUUCUAAAGUCAGGUCCAUUUCCUCCCCUACAAUUCCAUAUUAUUAAAUUCAUGGAUAUGUUCAGUUGGAGUGGUGUUAUCAUCGAAAUGUUCCUCAUGGAUUCUAACGGAACUUCCUUGUUUCUCAUUGUUGACGAAGUGUUCCUCAUGGAUUCUAACGGAGCUUCCUUGUUUCUCAUUAUUGACUUCAUUAUCAACACAUAACUCUCUCUAUGAGAUGUAAGGGCUUCUGAUAUCUAUUAAGCCUUUUAAUGGAUUUGAUGACAAAUAGGGAUGCAUUUCUUUUCGAAUUUUUCCUUGAAUAUUAUAUUAUUACUUUUAUCUCUUUUAACACAACUAUUUCGCUUCUUGUCUCUCGCAUUAGUUCGAGUUUUUUCUACUUUCUGUUCAUCGGUAUCAACGAUACUAGUUUUACAUGGGGUGUUAUCGAGGGUCGUCGUUCUUGUUGCUCUAUGUUGGUCUUCUUAUCUGCUGUCUCCAUUUAGUGAAGGUUAUUGUUUGCCAAGGCACUUCAUCCUCUCCGAUGCUCAAUUGACUCAUGCUUUUGUCUUCUUCUCUGUCCUUGUCUCUAUUUGGUUGCUCUUGAGGUGGCUGUUUGCUUAUACAAUUCUGUACUGUGUGCCCAAAGUACCCCACAACCGGUGCAUAAUAUAUCUGCUCCUUCAUACAGGGGGGAGCCAGACUUCUGUUUGGGGGUUCGUCCGAACCCCCUUCGGCGAAAAAUAUUACUAUUUAUACAUGGUUAAAUUUUUUAUAUAUAUAUAUAUAGUAGAUGUUGAAUCCCUUUGGUUAGCUCAUGUGUUUAGUUUAUCAGAUUUUGAACCCCCUUUGGUUAGUUCGUGUGUUUAAUUCUUUCGAUUUUGAACCCCUUAUUAAAAAUCCUAACUUCGCCACUGCCUUCAUAUACAAUGGGUUGUCUAUGGUAUCCUAUGUAAAUGAACUUCUUGACCGGGAUACCAAUGGGGACUUCGACCCAUAUACGUGCAUAUCGUCCUCGUAGAGUGGCCGAAGUGCAUACAUCUGUUUUAACCAAUUUGCCAAGUUUUUUACCUACUUUUGCUAAAAUUGAGUGGUCGUAGAACUCCGUGGGUAGUUCUGGAAGUCUAAUCCAUAUAGCAGAGUAUGUUUCCAUGGCUUCAGAGGCGACGAAAUUGGGGUGCCACCUUUUAACUGAUAGAAAAUAUCCGUUAAUAAACCAAGGACCAUGUUGUAGUGUUCUUUGUAAGCUUUCUUCUUUGUAGAAUUUAACAAUGUAAUAGUCAUGUCCCAGAUCAAUUAAUACAAUAUCCUCUGAAACUCUCUACAAAUUGGCUAGUUUCCUUUUUAGAUAUUAAUGACUGAUUCUUUUUCCAAAGAUAUUUUUGAUGAUGAUUGAGUAUGUCCAAGGUUGAUAGAUUCUUUUUUUCUCUUCAUCUGUCAAACAUAUCAUCUUGCUCUGUUUCUGCCAAUUUAUCCUGAAGGAUUCCUUUUCCUUUGUUAAUUGAUGUGUUAGGAUGAUCAAUAAGCAUAUCCACUUCAAGAUUUGGUCCUUUUGGGAUUUGUUGUGCUUCAAUCGGUGGAUAUAGUGUGAUAAGUUUUUCUUUGAAAUUGGCUUUCUCUUCCUCUGUAGUUUAUGUCACAGUAUCCAUAAUUGUAUCAGCAAUGAUUUCAGUGUCGGGUGGCGCAGGUGGAUGUAAAUUUUCUUGGCAAUAGUUCAUAUUUUGGUUAUGAUAGAAUUUGGGUUUUUCUAGUGAGAAGUUAGACCUACUCUCUCUAAAGUAUUACGGAUUAUGUGCUUGGAUUAUGAUUAAUAGUCAAUAAUAUUUGAAGAGUUUAGGAUAUAAAUUAUUUCUUCAACACUCACAAGAUGUAUAUUUGAUGUAUUUGAUAUAAUAGUUAUAUUUACAACUUGACAGUUUUAGUGAUGAUUAGUUUUUUAAACUGCUAAUACGAUGAUUAGGCUAUAAGCCUUCGUAAUUUUUUUUUAAUGUAAUUUCAUGAAGUAGUGUCACUUGAAAUAUUGUGACUUUUCAUGAAAAGAAGUAUUUGUUGUAAGAUAAAUUUUGCAUAGACAUGACCUUUCAUACAUAGAUGAAUUGGUGUGCUGGUCUAUAAAUAGUGAAUCUUCUAAUGAUGAUAAAAUUCAUAUAAGUUGGAUUUGAAACAUGUAUGAAGGUGUCAUAAGUUUUGUAUCAAAACAGGCUUGAAUUCCAUAGUGGAAUUAUAAGAAUAUAUUUAACAUAUAAAUGCUUGAAAAGAAAUGGAAUGGUUGAGAAAAUAUGAUUUUGAAAUGUUAUGGCCACUACUGAUGCAACAAUUCUAAGUUAUUGAGAUAAUGAUGAUAUCUAUGAUAUGCCUAAGUAAAAGAUUUGUUUAUGAUUUAUAUAAAUCUUGUAAAUCUAGUUUCAAAAGAUGCAGUGUAAUAAGUGUGUGAAUGAAUAAGGCUAAAAUCCUUAAAAUAAACAUAAGUGAUGGGAACCCAACUUUGAGUUAGUAUACACUUUGACAAUACAAGUUCAGCGGGUAAUAACAAGUUACUUUGUGUUGCUAAAGCACGAGUUUUCUUUUUAGAGCAUUGAUUCAAGUGUACUGCAUACUGUUAUGUGAGAAAUUGAGGAGUUGUUAAAUGCUUAAAAUAACAGGGGCAUAGUGACAAACUCCAUAGUGCAGACUGUUACACGGAGGUUGAGUUAAUUAUUAAUAAAAUUAGUAAAUGUGGGACAUAGUAGUUAAUUUCACCUAUAUGUAUAUUGAAGUGGUGUCGCUUCAAGCAAGAUCUAAAGGGUUGAUUUUGUAAAUAUUCAUGAAAUCAAGAUGAGCACAUGGUCAUAAUCGUGUUAAAGCAAAUACAAGGGUUUCUAAGCUAUAAAUAAUAUUGUGUGAUAUUUUUGAUUUUGGGAGUUGUGGUCAAAUCUUUUAAGAUACCAAUUAUUUCGUCAGAACUUUAAAGUACUUGCACUAAUAGAAAGUUCAAAUCUAUUAUAAGAUACUCUUUGUAUGCAUGAUAUUAUGAGAAACAUUAUAAACUAGUGGAGGGAUUGUUGGAUAUUUUGUAAUAUAUAGAGGUCUUAAAUUGAACAGGCAUAUUUUUUUGUGAAAGAACAUGACUGUUAUGAAAAGUUAUUUGUUCAGAACAUGAUUUUUAUGAAAAGUCAUAUGUUCAUGAAAGAACAUGACUCUUAUGAAGAGUCAUCUCUUAAGUACUAUAAAUAUAAAGACUCUCUAGAAGUAGCCUAAGAAAAAUCUGCAUGUAUAAACAAAGGGCUUUGUUGUAUCCUUGAAGAGAAUUGUUUGUAUUUACCCCAAUAUGAACAUGGGCAAUAUCUCUUUCAAGAAAGUGAUUACACACCUCAAAACCAUCGUCUUCUUACUUUUUCUUUUUGAUGAAUUUUUGGACCAGGGGUCCAUUUAUUUCAUCUGAAAAAUCCUUACAUCAUAUGACAAAAUAAGCCCAAAUAAGCAAGAGAAAGAUGGCCCAAAAUAGGAAGUAAAAGACUAAGAGUAGGAUUUCCUAAAAGAGUUCUCCUCUAUUCCACCACCUCCAUAUUUCUUGUUCCUUUUUCUUUGUUUUUUAUUCUUCUCCACCUCUGGGUCAUCAAUAUUCUGCAUCCAUGGAUAGUGAGGUGAUAUAACAGCUCACAAAGGUAUUCACUUUAUUUUCUGUGCUUCUCCCAGCUAGUUUCCCUGUUAACUUUCCCCUUCUUGUAGAUGUGCAUCCCGGUGGAGGUGUUUGGAAAUCUCGCAUAACUUUUUGUUGGGAUUGAACCAUGACGCUCCUUCUAAAGGCUUUGAGGAUAUCGGCCUGCUGAAUCGAGUAUGUGCUCCAUUGACCUGGUUUGAGAUCCCCCCUCCCUCCCUUGUGCUGAUCUUUUUUUGUAAGUUGAAGUAGCGCUAACGUAGCUAGAUCGUCUCUUAGAAGACAGAACCUGUAAAUAUUGUAGCUGAAUGGUUCUGGUUUGUAGAUAUUCUCGCUUAUCAUGAUGGAUUGAUUCUCUUUGCUUUAAUUCUCAAUGAUGGAAUGUGUUGUUUUUUUAUGUUGAGAAUUCUUCUUCCAAUGCUUGGUAGAUCAUAGAAGUUAUUUACUUGUAUUUGGUCUGCUUGAUUUAGGGCCAUGUUUGCCAGAUAAUCUGCUAAUUGAUUAGCUUCCCGAAAUAUGUGCUUUACCUGAACUUGCUUCCUUGCUAUGCUUUGCUGUAUAUUCUCUAUAUUUUCAGCAUGUAACCAAGGAAUCCUCCAUUGUUUAACCAACACAUUUGUAAGUACUAAUGAGUAUGUCUCCAGAAUUAUCUUUUGAAAGUUUUGUGUUUCGCAAUAUUGCAUUGCUUUUAACACACCCAUAAUUUCAGCUUCCAUAUUGGUGGCUUCCCCUAUCUUCUGUGCCUCCGCAUAUAUUAAAUCUCCCCUGCUAUUUCGUAUGAUAAAUCCAUAAGAGCUCUGUCCAGGAUUUUCUUUACAUGCACCAUCUGUAUUGGAUUUCACCCAUUCCUGAUCUGGUUUCUCCCAAUAAACUAUUCUAUAAUAUAGUGUAGGUUUAUAUGCACUAGAGUGGUGAGCAUCUCCCUCUAAUUCUGAAUCCUUCCUCUUAUCCACGGAUACUUCACUCUAAUGAACCAUUGAACAAUUUGUAGACAUUGCCCUAAUAACCUCGCAUAUGUAACAUUUUUUCCAUGCCUUCUAGCAUUUCUCCUUUUCCACAGCUCCUAAAUAAUAAUUGUUGGUAUGGCUUUAAAAAAUUGUUUAACCUUGUACUGUCCUGGCCAAUCCCACCAGAUAGUAAUCAAUUGUUGUAAUUGAACUCCUUCAAUGCUAAUACCUGCACAUGAAGCAAAAUGCUUCCAUAGCUUUUGGGCUAUGGGAGCUGUUAGAAAUAAGUGUUGCAUUGUUUCCUCCUUCCCCUCAUUGCAGCAGUAGCAUUUCAAUACCACAUGUACCCUCAUCCUUUUAAGAACAUCAUCCGUGGGGAUUCUCUGUCUCCAUAUUCUCCAGAAAAAGAAAGAGAUUUUAAAUGGUAAUCCCCCAAUCCAGAUAUUAUUCAUCCAUUCAAAUUCUUCCAUUUUCUGUCUUGUUACAUGAAAUGAUGAUCUCACAGUAAAUUCUCCAUGUAAAUUACCCAUCCACCAGGCCUUAUCUUGAGUACCCACACUCAAUUUAGGACCGAUACUAUCCACAAUGCAUUCUACCAUAUCUUGAGACAAUAAUUGUUGUAGUCUUGCUAUGUCCCAUUGCCCAUUCUGAAUCAACUCUUUGGCCUCCACUUCUUCCUCUACUCCUUGUGGUUCUAUAUAAUAAAGAGCACCUUGUUUUGUCCUAUUGUCCAUCCAGAAACUAGCAUUCCCUUCCUUCUGCUGCCACCAAAUUUCAUGCUCCACAUCUUCCCUGACCCGUAUCAUUUUUCUCCAUACCUGAGAUGCACCUCUGUUAUGCGCCAUUAUGGGAUGGUGUUUUUUACAAUACUUGUUCCACAUAAAUGUGCUCCAUAAAGAUGUCUGAGUUCUAAACAUCCACCACAAUUUAGCAAAGAGAGCAUUAGAUAUAUCAAAGAGCGAUUUGAAACCCAUCCCCCCUUCCCUCUUUGGAUAGCACAUAUCAAUCCAUGUAACCCAAUGUUUACCUUUCACCUCUGUAUAAUUCUCCCAAAAGAAUUUAGCAAAGAGCUGGUGAAUUUGUUCUAUAACCCGUUUUGGUGGAGACAUAGUUGAUAGCAUGUAAAUAGGUAUGGACUGUAGUACAUGAUUUAUCAAAAUGUAUUUUCCACCAAAGGAUAAGAAUCUGUUUUGCCAAGAGAAGAUUCUGGCAACAACCUUCUUGAUUAACCCUUCAAUUUUUAUUUUAUUUUUCUUACUAUUUUUUUCUAACACCUUGAAAUAAGGCUUGAAGUUGAAGAAGCCUAGCUUCUUCUUUGAGAGAACUCAGAACAUGCAAAUUUGAUUUGUUUGAGGGUUGAGCGUGAAUAGGGAGAUUAUUAGGAUAUGAGAUAGAAUUUUUUUAUUUUAUUUUUAUUUUUUUAAAAGGUAUUUUAGUAUACCUAUAUUAACCAGUGAUUUUCUCGGGUACCAGCCUUGAACCCUUGACGUAGUGGUCACAAGAAAACUCCUUAAUAACCAAUCAACCCGUGUGACAAAGCAGGCUGAAAAUAUGAGAUAGAAUUAGGGAAGUUAAUUGAGGGUAAAAGUUCAAGAAUAGUACUCUUCUGGAAACGUAAGAGGACCAUAAAAAUAAAAAAUGACCUUUCAAUGAAUUUCGUCGACCAAAUCGGUGAUCUGGAGAUUUCCUCACCGAAAUAGUUGGCGAGUCGCCCAAUUGGAAUUUAGAUCGCCCAAAUAGACCGAGACUUAAGAUUUUCGAGACAUUUAGGCAAGCUAAUUCGGCGAUUCACCAAUUGAGCAUGUGACCUUGCCGAAUUUCUCAGUCCGGGUAUAUUCCAGUAAAACAAUCAUAACCUUUUUCUCCAAACGCGUAAUAAUGCAAACUUGGUGUCAUUGGAAAGAAAACUCAUAGAGCUUUAAUUUGAUAGAUCAUAUGCCCCCUAAUUCAUCAUGUGUUAAGAGAUAUGAUCGCUUGAAGUUGACCUAAGUAGAAUAUUAUAUCAAAACUCGAUCGGUAAGGAAGCUUUCAACUCAAAUUUGUGCUAGGGUAUUUUAGUGACCUUGAUUCAUAUCCAAAUUCAUUCCCACACUAAAGGAAUGAACUCAUUGCCUAAGAACAAUUUAAGAAUCACCUGCUACGAUCUUAUAUGCAAAUGAAGAAUGACUCGGGUCUUACUUAGAAAUUUCGGGGUGUUACACUAAACUUACAUAUACCCAAUAUGCCACAUCACAUAGCAAGUAGUCUCAAAUUCUUGUAGAAGUAUGAUAUUUUUAAUAAAAAUCGAUAGAAGUGUUGAAGACAUCCUUAAACUUGAAGAAAAUUACAGGUGUAUUUCACUAAUGUUGCAAGAUCAGAGGUGUAUUUAAGUUCACUUAGUCAAGUAAAAUUGUGUUUUUAAGGUUGUCAAUAGUUUAAACAUGAAACAAAUAAUUCACGCUAAGUUCUGAAGCGUUUGCAAUACUUCUCUUAAUUUUAAAUAGUACAAGAACAAAUUUGAUAAUUAUUUUCCUUUUUUAUCCUUUUCAGUUGCUAAUUAUCAAGAAGUUCAGUAUCGAUAGUAAAUUUGAUCGCUCCAUGUUUAUUUAAUAUUCUAUGUUUAUCUAAUCGAGAAUUGGAGAAGAUAUUAUGAUAAAGUUAAAUCUUUUUUUUCUCUAUAGGAAAUUAGAAGGGCUUCAUCAAAUAAAUAAGCAUAUAUUAAUUAGGUACGCCGAAAUGAAGGAGAAUAUAUGCAGCAGCAAUUCUUCAAGGGUAUAGGGGUGGGUUUGGCUUGAACAUAGGCUCAAACAAAAUUUGAAGGGUCCUAGCUACGGCAUGCGUUCAAUACAAAAUCUGAAAAGCUGCAGGGAUGACAAAAAGAGGGCGCUUUCCAGUGUUGCACUGAAAAAAAGGACCUAAGAGACUAUCGAGAGAAUCUGGAUAGGCAUGAUCGAAAGAGGGGGUGAUCACACUCAUCAUAACCUUUCCUGAAAGUAGACGACAAGUUUGAAAUCUUAACGCCAACAUAAUCAUUGAAAUAGUAUCUUCUUUUUCGCCACAUCGCAUCAAGGUGACAUGAUAUGUUGACUAAUCCUUAAUUAUUUAAAGAUUUUGAGCCAGUUUGUGUAUUCUUUGUAAGUUAAUUUAGAUUUUCUAAGUACGUGUAAAUAUAUUUCUUGAGAAGUUUCUUUUCGGACAGUGUUAAAUUCAAAUUUAAUGUUUGCUCCUGAAUUGCUCAAUUUUAAAAAUAAAAUAUUAGACAGUCAUUUAGCAUUCAUAAUAAAUUACAUAAUUUUAAAUCGUGAUCAAACAUUUCUCAAAAAAACUUGUCAUUUUUCUCAAAAAAAAUAUUUAAAUUGUGAUUUGAAUAGUUCAUAAAUCGUAAAAGAAAUAAAAACAUGAUAUUUUACUAAGGAGAUGUCUCAAAAAGUUAUACAACCAAACAGUGACGGAUGUCAUAUUUUCACUAAAUAAGGGUUCGUAAAAUAAAAAUAGUGUGCAUGAUGUUUGAACUUGGAACCUUAAGUUAAAGUUUGAACCUCCUAAGCCACUAACUCAACCUUUAAAUUUGUGUUCAAGCGAUUCAAAAUCUGAAUAUAUACAUUAAAAAAUAUCUCAUAUAUAAUAUAUAAUUUUUUUAUUGAGAAGGUUCAAGUGAACACCCUGACAAUCCCUUAGAUCCGCCUUUACAAUUGGAGAAAUCUUUACAUUCUACAUUGAGCCUUGAAAUUUGAGGAUCACCAUAUAAAGUGUUUCCCUCUUAGAUUGAUCCUACCUAACAAAAAUUUAAAUUAAUCAGAUCUAUUAGUUAAAAGAUUAGAAAAUAAUAGUUGCCCAAUCCAAUAAAGUGGAAACUCACUCAUAGGUGAACACUCAAGUAUGAAUGCAAUUUGAAGCAUAUUUUAAAUUAAUUAAUGGAUAUACAUGGAAAAAAACCUAACAAAAGUGGACCCACUUGGUUCACAAAGAAACUUUCUUCAAUUUUUAUCAUCUUAUUUUCUUCAAGUGUUUUCCUAGUCAAAGCCGGCAAUUUUCUAUCAACCUUCCUACCCUAUUUAAAAAGUCAAAUUUACAAAUAUUUUUUAAAAAAAUAAAACAAGAAGAUAUGGCAGUAACAUAGAAAUCACUUGGUUUGUACUAUAUGUUUAGUUGUUAAGUUUGACUCAUACUAGGUUUUGACCAAUAUAAAUAAAAUCCGUUCCUUUUUAAUAAAUUCAGAAUUUAAUAAAAAUAUAUUCAUUCAUAACUUAUAAUAAAAUCGAUUAUAUAUAAUACUUCCUCCGUUCAUUUUUACUCGUUACUUAUUCCUAAAUAUAUUUUCAUUUUUUUUAGUCACUUUUAACAAAUCAAGAAAAGACAAUUAUUCUUUUCAUAUAUUACCCUUAAUAUUAAAUACUAUUCUCCAAAUCAUUUUUGAUGAUCUAAUACUAAACAUCAAUUGAUACCUAUGUCAAUAAUUAUUUAAUUAAUGAGUAUGUCAAGUUAAAUAGGGACAAAUAAAAAUGAACCGACGGGUUACUAUUAAUCUUUCAACAACCACCAUUUUAGUCUUUUUCCUAGCAAUUGCUUCUCACGUAUUUUGUAUACCAACCUUCAUUUGUUCCUCUCUAUUUAUACUCACCACAUGAUAUCUCAUCUACCACAACCAAAACAAAAAGUUUUGUAAGUUCACAACAUUUUUUUAUAUAUAUACACAAAUAAACUCUAACCAUUUUCUCUUCACUAAAAUUUCUUCAUUACAAAUAUAACCAUUUCUUGAUCCAAUGGCACCAUCAAUUGCACAAAAUGGACAUAUUAAUGGAGAAGUAGAAGAAGUGGCUAUGGAUUUGUGCAAGAAAUCAAAUUAUGAUCCAUUAAAUUGGGAAAUGGCUGCUGAUUCUUUAAGAGGGAGUCAUUUGGAUGAAGUGAAAAAGAUGGUGGAUGAAUUUAGAAAGCCAAUUGUGAAACUUGGGGGUGAAACUUUGACAGUUGCACAAGUUGCAUCCAUUGCAAAUGUUGAUAACAAAAGUAAUGGGGUCAAAGUGGAACUUUCUGAAAGUGCAAGGGCUGGUGUGAAAGCUAGUAGUGAUUGGGUGAUGGAUAGUAUGAGUAAAGGUACAGAUAGUUAUGGUGUUACUACUGGAUUUGGUGCAACAUCUCAUAGAAGAACAAAAAAUGGUGGUGCUCUUCAAAAAGAACUUAUUAGGUAAACAAACUACUUUUUUCGUUAUAUACACCGACAACAUAAAGAAUUUUAUAUUUUUUGUUAUAUAUAGCUUAUCGACUACCUUGAGUACUCAAUCUCGGGCCAUAGACAUCAUAUGCUCCAUUAGAAAAGUUAUUUUUUUUUUUUUUAUGAUGACACACAUUUUUAUGUUUCUUGUUUUCUAGCUAUAGCAUUCUGAACCAUUGUUGAUUAUAAAUUUAGCUAAGUAACAAAUUUGAUUAAUUGCAUUAUCUAAACUUAAAAACAAUAUAUAGUUGGUACUCCAAUGACAGCUGCAAGAUUUUCAGUAAACGAGUUCGUUAUUUAUUAUUGGGAUAUGCCAUCGAACUUUGAGAAAAAGGCUCAUCUAUGUCUUCUGUUUAAAGUUUAGCUCAUUUAUGCAAUUUCUGUUUAAGAAAAGCCUCAUCCAUGCCAUUAUUUGUUAACUAAAAAAAGUUUCGAUGCCAUAUUUGAGCCAAAUAAAAUUUUACUUUGUAUGUAUAGAGUCAUAUUACGCGUAGAUGUUUCGGAUGAAUUCAGUUAAAAAUGUGAUCUUGAUGAAUAUGAUAUUUUUGCAGGUUCUUGAAUGCUGGAGUUUUUGGUAAUGGAACAGAAACAUCUCACACAUUGCCACAUUCAGCAACAAGGGCAGCUAUGCUUGUUAGGAUCAACACUUUGCUUCAAGGCUACUCUGGCAUUAGAUUUGAAAUCUUGGAAGCAAUUACUAAGUUGAUCAACAGCAACAUCACCCCGUGUUUGCCCCUCCGUGGUACGAUCACCGCCUCGGGUGAUCUUGUACCUUUGUCCUACAUUGCUGGUUUGCUCACUGGCAGGCCUAACUCCAAGGUUGUUGGGCCCAAUGGUGAGAAACUUAAUGCUGAGGAAGCUUUCCGCGUGGCUGGUGUUACUGGUGGAUUUUUCGAGUUGCAGCCUAAGGAAGGACUUGCACUUGUGAAUGGCACAGCAGUUGGUUCUGCUAUGGCAUCAAUAGUCCUGUUUGAGUCCAACAUUCUUGCUGUUAUGUCUGAAGUUUUAUCAGCGAUUUUCGCUGAAGUGAUGAACGGAAAGCCCGAAUUCACUGACUAUUUGACACACAAGUUGAAGCAUCACCCUGGUCAGAUUGAGGCUGCUGCUAUUAUGGAACACAUUUUGGAUGGAAGCUCUUAUGUGAAGGCAGCUCAGAAGCUCCAUGAAAUGGAUCCUCUUCAAAAACCAAAGCAAGAUCGUUAUGCUCUCCGAACAUCUCCACAAUGGCUUGGCCCUCAAAUUGAAGUCAUCCGUGCUGCAACUAAGAUGAUCGAGAGGGAGAUUAACUCAGUGAACGACAAUCCAUUGAUCGACGUUUCAAGAAACAAGGCCUUACAUGGUGGCAACUUCCAAGGCACCCCUAUUGGUGUCUCCAUGGAUAAUACACGAUUAGCCCUUGCAUCAAUUGGUAAAUUGAUGUUUGCCCAAUUCUCAGAGCUUGUCAACGACUAUUACAACAACGGGUUGCCAUCUAAUCUGACAGCAGGAAGGAAUCCAAGCUUGGACUAUGGUUUCAAGGGAGCUGAAAUCGCGAUGGCUUCUUACUGCUCGGAACUUCAAUUCUUGGCAAAUCCAGUGACUAACCAUGUCCAAAGUGCUGAGCAACACAACCAAGAUGUGAAUUCCUUGGGCUUAAUCUCAGCCAGGAAAACAGUUGAGGCUGUUGAUAUCUUGAAGCUAAUGUCAUCAACCUAUCUCGUGGCGCUUUGCCAAGCUAUAGACUUACGGCAUUUGGAGGAGAACUUGAAGAGUGCUGUCAAGAACACAGUUAGCCAAGUAGCUAAGAGAACUUUGACAAUGGGUGCUAAUGGGGAACUUCAUCCAGCAAGAUUCUGUGAGAAGGAAUUGCUUCGAGUCGUGGAUAGGGAAUACUUGUUUGCCUAUGCAGAUGACCCCUGCAGCUCCAACUACCCUUUGAUGCAGAAGCUGAGACAAGUCCUUGUUGAUCAAGCAAUGAAGAAUGGUGAAAGUGAGAAGAAUGUCAACAGCUCAAUCUUCCAAAAGAUUGGAGCUUUCGAGGACGAAUUAAUCGCUGUGUUGCCUAAAGAAGUUGAGAGUGUAAGAGCUGUUGUUGAAAGUGGCAACCCUUCAAUUCCUAACAGGAUCACAGAAUGCAGAUCAUAUCCAUUGUACAGGUUGGUGAGACAAGAACUUGGAACAGAAUUGUUGACAGGUGAAAAAGUUCGAUCACCCGGUGAGGAGAUUGACAAGGUGUUUACAGCAAUGUGUAAUGGACAGAUUAUUGAUCCAUUGUUGGAGUGUCUCAAGAGCUGGAAUGGUGCUCCUCUGCCAAUCUGCUAAAUGUGUUAUUUUUUCAAAUUCUUUUUUUACCUUAUGGUGAAUUACUAGAAUCAUAAUAACGUUAUGAACUUAUAUAAUUUUUUUAUUUUCUUUUUGACUGUAUGUAAUAUUGGCUCAACUAAGGUGCCCAAGAUGAGAAUCAGAAUAUGUAGUUAACAUACUUUUAGUUCUACAUGUGCUUAGUUUACAUAGUUAGAGGAAGUUGCCUAGUUAAAUGAGUACCGUAUCGGAUCACUUGUAAAAUUUAGUUUUGUUAUUGAAAUCAAAGUUCAAUUUGUGUUCUUUCCUUCUCUGUAAUCUGUAUUUUCUUCUUGUGAAACUGGUGUUUGAUGUUAUACUGGUCUUGGUCCAAGCUCUUAUCUGAAUAUUAUAAGUAACUUUUUUUUUUUACUUCUUGUUUCUAUCACCAAUUAUUUUAAUUAAGUCUUCUUUUGAAGGAUUCAAGUGAUCUUUUAAAUUAGCUUUGAGAACAUGAUGACAUGCUUUCUUCUUUACAGAAUAUGUCUUGAGUUUAACAGCAUUUUGAUUAUAUCAUCCAUCUCAUCAUGAGCACGCUAUCGCCUGUCCAAACCGUUCUCAUCAUAAUGACUUCCUGCACUUUCAUUUUGGGCAUCUUUGCAGGCAUUUUAUGCAGGAGGAUAGCAAAUCAAAGAGGUAAACUAUGCUUCUAAUUUCCGCGGACAAAUAAUCUUUUUGGAAGUUGUUUUAUCCUUUCUUUUCUUCUUAGGAACAUUUUAUUACAAGAAAAAAUAUUAGCCAAAUAUGAAAAACUUAAUUUUUCUCCUAGGAAAAGUAAAUUCCAAUCAAGGUUCUUGAUGUUGAUGUUGACCUGCUUUUUUGAAGACUCGUUUGAAAAAUCGAUGUUGAAACUUUUAUUCAAAUACCACUUCAUUUCAUGAAGCUUUACAUCGUAAUGGAGAAGAUUCAUGGAUGAAUUUCAGAAGAAAUUAAGGUUGGAAGUUGCAAGAUCAUGCAGUUUUAACUUUACCUAAGUUGCAACAUACGUUCUGGAUUAAUUCUCCACAUGACAUUUCAGGACUUGUUAUCAUGACAUCCGUCUCCCGUAAUUGAUCAAAUAUAUAUUUAUAUGUGUGAAUGUAACUUAACUGUUUUUUCAGGAGCUAGAAGAAAUAGAAUAGAAGACCUCGUUCCGGAUGGUAGGUUUCAUAAUUCAGGCGAUACAUCCACAGACAGCUUGCGGAAUGAGCAAGCAUUUUCACAAAACUCAUCAGAAGUAGUAUUACCUCUUAUUGAUUUUGCUAAAUUGGCAACUGCCGCUGAUAACUUCAGUGAAACAAAUAAGAUUGGAGCAGGGGGAUUUGGACCUGUUUACAAGGUACGUUACACCAGAUUGCAACUCAUUUACAUAAAUAUUUUGAUGUUUUUGAUCAUGUGAAAACUUAUGCAAUGACGACGGAUAUCAUACAGGGAAAACUCAAAGAUGGGAAAGUAAUAGCUGUCAAAAGAUUAUCUAGUCACUCUGGGCAAGAAUGAGGUCUUGCUCAUUUCCAAACUACAACACAGGAAUCUUGUCAGGAUAUUGGCCUAUUGCGUUCAUGGGGAAGAGAAGUUACUAGUUUAUGAAUACAUGGCUAAUGGAAGUUUAGACACUUUGUUAUUUGGUAAUGGUUUCAUCCAUAGCUUCUGCGUGAUUAAUAUUUGUUUUGUCAUAUCCUCCCUUUAUUACAGUCUUGGAUGAUCUUUCAUGUUCAUAUUAUAUCGUGGGAAUGGAAAUGGUGCCAUGUUUAAUAAACACACAUUUCUCAUGACACUAUCAGAUUCAAAAAAGAGCCAUCAGCUACCUUGGCCUAAACGUUUCAACAUGAUUGAAGGCAUUGCUAGAGGGCUUCUUUACCUUCACCGUGAUUCUUGUUUAAGGGUUAUUCACCGAGAUUUGAAGGCCAGCAAUGUUCUCUUAGAUGAUGAUAUGAAUCCGAAAAUCUCAGAUUUUGGCUUAGCCAGAACCUUUCAAGUGACUCAAGAGCUAAACACUCGGAGAAUUGUCGGAACAUAGUAAACAUUUCCUCUAUUUCUGCAUUCAGACAUUAAAAAAGUUACUCAAAUACUGACUUAUAUAUUUGUUGCAGUGGUUAUAUGUCACCUGAAUACGCGAUGGGAGGACUAUUCUCUGAGAAAUCUGAUAUCUACAGCUUUGGUGUUUUGCUGCUAGAGAUUGUCAAUGGCACGAGAAACAGCAGAUUUUAUGACCAUGAAAGGCAUCUCAACCUUCUCAGUUAUGUAAGUGCAACGAAUUCAGAAUUCAAUGUUAUCAACAUAUUUACCGGUCAUUUUGCAACACUUUUUUCGGCAUGGAAGCUAUGGACGGAAAGCAAAGGACUAGACUUAAUGGAUAAAUCAAUUUUCGACUCAUGUUCAUCUGCAACAGUGUUGAAAUGCAUAAAUAUUGGUCUGCUUUGUGUCCAGGACCAUGCUGCUGAUAGGCCAUCAAUGUCAUCUAUUGUUCUAAUGCUAAGUAGUCAUGAGAUGGAUCUGCCUCAACCAAACCAACCUAAAUUUGUAUUUCAAACAUGGUUAAAUUCUGAUGUCCAGUCACAAAACAGCAUACAACAAUCCUUUAAUGAUCUUACUAUAUCUUCAACAGAAGGGCGAUAACCGAUUAAAAAAAUAUACUUAUGAGUAUUAUGUAAUUGUGAUUCAAUAUGUUGGCAGUACCAUUUUAAUAUGUGUAAACACCUUGUCUAAGCUGUUCUAUCAAUCUGAUAUUAGUUCUUUUUUCUAUUUUCAUUUCACUAGUCUUUGUCAGUAGGUUGCAGAGAUGAAAAAAUGCAGUUGAGCACAUUUACUAUGAAAUGUAAACACACAAAGAAGUCAAAGAGGGUUCAACAUUUGUCGGUAGGUUGCAGAGAUGAAAAAAUGCAGUUGAGCACAUUUACUAUGAAAUGUAAACACACAAAGAAGUCAAAGAGGGUUCAACAUUUGUCGGUAGGUUGCAGAGAUGAAAAAAUGCAGUUGAGCACAUUUACUAUGAAAUGUAAACACACAAAGAAGUCAAAGAGGGUUCAACAUUUGUCGGUAGGUUGCAGAGAGGAAAAAACAAGAAUGCUAAGCACCAUAUUCUCUGAACAAUAAGCUACUGCUCAGUGGCCUUAGCAUGCUUCUUUUUCUUAAUAGAACAAUUGUUUAUUCAAUUUCAAUGAAAUAUUUGACUAGAUCAUAUAUUUAUCCAUGUGUCUAUGUAUUUGUUAGUAGAUGAUUUAGUGUAUAGAGUAUAAUUUAUACAUGAAAGAUUAAGUAUCGAUACAUACGUAUAAAGUUAAUGUAUGGAAAUUAGACAAAGCCGUAGUAUGAUUAUAAUACAAGCUUAAAUAUAAUUUAUCUUGAUUAUGAGAAUGAUAUAAUUCUGACUUCUUAUGCUAAUAUAUUUUGUGUGUAUCGAAAAAAUCAAGUAGAGAUAAUUGUUUAUGUUCAAAAUAUUUAUGGAGAAGCUUCUCUAAAUCAUCAAAUGCACUUAUAUUCUUAAUCUGGAUAUAAUUGUUAUGCUUAAUUCAAUUUGUUUAUUAUCUUGACUUAUCAAAGGGUGAGACUAUAAUCCUUGUCUCGGCCUUGAAAUUGAUGAUAUUCCAUUAUCCUGCUUAGGGGUGUACAUAGGUCGAUUUGGUUUGGUUUUUCAUUAAAAAAAUCUAAACCAAUUAUGUCGGUUUAUUAAAUCUAAAAACCAAAUCAAACCACAUAAAGUCGGUUUUUUCGAUUUCGGCUUUAGUCGGUUCUUUCGGUUUUUUUCGAUUUUUUACAACUAUACAGUAUUUGAAAAAGAGAUCAAAUAUUUUUUCACUUACCUGUGUGAUAAGCUAAACUUUAAAAAAAUGUUAAAUGAAUAGAAAUUUUCGAAAAGACAGUAAAAUUCACAUGAGUAUAGAAUAUAUUUUUUGAAAUAUCAACGUUCAUUAUGUUAAAUUAAUAAGAUUAAAGGCUAGAGGCAAACUGAAUACAAAACAAAAUAUUUACAAAGUAAAUUGUUAACUUUGAAUUUGAAAAACUAUAACAAUAUAAUUGUAACUUCGGAUCUUAAUACAAAAUAAAAUAUUUACAAUUUUUACAAGCCCAAAAUUUGAAAUAAAAUAUAUAAACAUUGAAAAUUAUAAAGUAACUAAAAAUAUAUUAACAAAGUAGAUUAUAAAUAAAUUUUUUUAUCUAUAAAUAAAAUAAAAUUUUAUAUAUAUAUAAAAUUAAGAGUUCGGUUUGACUUUUUUUCUUUUAAUACCAAACUAAAUCAAGAGUGAUCGAUUUUUUUUUCCAACCGCCAAACCAACCAAACCAAACCACAAAUCGAUUUUUUUUCCGAUUUGAUUUGAUUCGUCGAUUCAGUUUGACUUUACGAUUUAGCUUGUACACCCCUAAUCGCGCUUAUGAGUUUUCAUAUGAAAAUCUUACGAGUAAAUUUUGUAUCAAUCACAUAGUAUAAGUUAAGCGUAAGUAUAUAAGAUUAAAUUGUCACAAAUUUAAUUUAAUUGAUUGGUAUUUGUAAACUUAACAUGGAAAUUAAGCAAAGAACCUGAGGGAAAAAUGAGGUGAGAAUGCCUCACAAGUCUCCAAUUAAAAAAAAGGGACUUCUCAUAUAUUUUAGUAAAAUUUUAGGUAUUUUGAGGUAAAAAAUAUGGGAUAAAAGUAUAAAAGUUAAAAGGUUGGGGCUGUUGAGAAAAGAUUUUUUAAUUUCAUUAAUAUUAAUUAUAUAUUUGUCACUUCUACCUAAUAUUUAAAACUUGGAGGACUCCUACCUAAUUAACAAACUACUUUGUCACUUUUAAUACACUAUCCCUUUGCUAUAAUCAUAUGGUAGAGGUUGAGGUUUCUUCACCUGAUCUCAACGGCAAAGCCUCUUCUCCUCACCACAGAAUAACAAUGGUUUCAAUUCUCAAUUUCCUUUGAUUUUUCAUCUUUCUUUUUGCCUUAUAUUACAUUACCUUAUUUUGUUGAUUUACAGUCGAUUUUCGAUUCCUUUGUUUUUCCCGAAGUGCAGCAUCCACUUAUUAUUCAUCAAAGCUUUCAUGAUCAUUUGGUUCUCUUUCAGUUUCUCGCUUCGCCCUUCUCUCUAUGUGUUUUUUGUGUUAAAUAACUGUUCAAUGCAGUAGAAAUUUACUAGAAUUAAUGAAGAAGCUAAUAUUCAUUGCAGCAUGGGAGCAUUUCCUUUUUAGUCGGUCUAAAAAAUAAUGUCACUUUUCUAUAAUUUAAAAUAGCUCUACUUUAAAAUUUCUCUUUUAUCUCUAAUGAUGAAAUGAUGUAUAGUCACACAAAUGUCAAAGGCUUGUACCAAGUCAAAUGGUGCAUACAUAAAUUGGGACGAAGUGAGUAGGCAACUGCUAAACUGUUUGGACGAGGAAAAACAGAAUUGCUUAAAAAUGUUACUGCACCAAUUGGUACUUAAGAACCUAGUGUAAUCCUUAAAGUGGGGUCUGGCGAGGGUAAGGUGUGGGCAACCUAACCCCUAUCUUUAUGGGGUAGAGAGGUUGUUUCAAUCAACCGUCGGCAACCCUCCUUUAUCCGGGCUUGGGACCGGCAAUGUGAGCGAGCUCACACAGGCGGAGUUGUAGUGAACAAGCCACAUGAUAUUUAUAUCACAUUUAAAAGAUGAUGUAGGAAAAUGGAACAAUCUAAUCUGGGUACUGUAUAUUUAGCCAUUGGUGCCUGAAAGUAUGAUAGUACAAGUUUUCUGUCGUGGAGUUAUUGACUUGUCAAAGUACUUGUGGGCUUCUGAAGAGACUGAGGAUAUCUACCAUGUAAAAAUGAUAACUUUGUCUUUAAAGUAAGGACACUAUAUACCAAAGUGCAAGUUUGAGCUCUGCUUAGCAGUUUUGUAUUGGACUAUCAGCAUAUUUCACUCCAUUACAUGGUUUAAUAGCAUAUCAUUCACAAAAUAAAUCCACAAUUUAUUAAGGAAAUUGGCAGUAUGAAUAGACUGACAUUGGGGAGUGGCUGAAUCUUCACGAAUUAGCAGUAUGAAGAAGCCUAACAAUUAGGAGUGUAUGCAUAAUACUGCAGCCGGCCUGCAAACAUGUUUUCAGCUGAUGCUGUAGUUGGGAGCAUCAUAACAUAGAUUGGUCACAUUUUCUAAAUGUGGUAAAAUGUUCAUUUGAUGUACAUUCAAAAGAGUUCAUAUUUUUUGGAUUCUUGCUUUGGUGUCAUCUUCAUGAUUUGACUCGUUCGUAACAUUGUUGGACUUGUGGAGUUUUAGCAUACAUGUUUUCAUGUUCUUUUUUUUUUAAAGGUGGAUGGGUAUUAUAGGUAACUGAAUUCAUCCAUUCUUUAAUUUUAAGGCGCCUAGUGAAGGAGAAGUUGCAAUGGGAAAGAGGAAGGAUCAAUGUAUUAGUGAACCUGAAGGGAGUGGAAAAAAGAAGAAAAGCAAGUAGCCACUCCUCGUCCUACUUGCUCUUUGGUGCACUUCAGAUGACAUGUUUAUUUGAGUAAAUACCUUAUCUUUGCAACUUGUUUAUCUAAUUUCUACUGCUUUUGGACUACCAUGUUCUGCUUACACUGAGAAUAACAUUUUCAGCCGUGACUUUAUUAAAGAGCAUAGUACACCAGUUAGUUACACUCGUCCUACUUGCUCUUGAGUGCACUUCCUGAAUCUUCAGGGUGAAAGCUGUAAGAAUCUAUUUUUAUGUAUGAGAGAUGCCUUAGUGUACACCAGUUAGUUACACUCAAGCAUGUUAGUAAGAGCACAUCACUUUUCAGGCCACAAAAGCAGCAUCAGAUGCAUUGGAAGCGGAUGGGUCCUGAGGAGAAGGUACAGUACACUACUCGUGCCCAUGAUGUGUGGGAUAAGUACCUUAGCAGGCUCAACUUGAUUGAUUUUCAGUUAACGCUUCCACUUCUCUAUAUGUGAAUUUGUCAUCUGCUUCAGGUAUGUUCUCUGUAACAUCUGUUGAUAAGAUUACCAUGCUUAAGAUCAUGAUAUGCAUUAAGUUUAUGUGAUAGCAUGAACACCUGUGCUUAAAGCUUAUGUUAUGUAUUCCGUUAGUUAAUUCCGAUCCAUUGAUGACAUUCGUUCCUUUGUCAUUAACUCUGAUCAUGUCCGUGAUAUUCUUAGGUGGUUUUGGAGUUGUUUGGUGUGACUCUGAUAUGAUGCUAAAAGUUCUAAAAACACGUUGCCAAUCAAUCUAUUUAUACAUUGCACCAAAAAAAAAAGUCAUAAUAAAAUCCUAACUUGUUCAUCAAAUUAUAAAUAGAAAGCUUAAACAUAUAUAUAACAAAAGAUAAAAAAAAAAAUGAAACUUUUUCUUAAUGAUGAAAUAAAACAAAAAUCAAAAUUUAUCGGAAGACAACUUGCGAAAUUUUCAUAUUUAAACCUUAAGAUAGAGAGUACUUCAAAUUUAAUCUUACCUAACAUAAAUUUAAAUGAGUCAAAUUAGUAAAUUAAAUAAUUAUAAAAAUAAUAUUUGACCAAUCUAAUAAAGUGGAAACUCACUCUUAGGUGAACACUAAGUAUGAAUGCAAUUUGAAGCAUAUUUUAAAUUAAUUAAUGGAUAUAUAUGGGACUAAACCUAACAAAAGUGCACCCACUUGGUUCACAAAGAAACUUUAUUCUAUUUUCUCACUUUAUUUUCUUCCAGUGUCUUUCCUAUUCAAAGCCAUCAUUUCUAUCAACCUUCCUAC
rnacentral:lncRNA from 1 species